CCUUAUUUGUUUGUCUACCAAAAUAAUCACAACCCAUAUCUAAUCUGAUUACUUUUAUCUCUCUCUCUAGUUGAUUCUCCAUUUCAGCUUUAUAUAUCUUAAAAACAUCUAAUGUUUUAGAUUUCAUUUCUUUUUAAGUAAAGAUAGCACUAUCAAGAGUAGUCAUCAAUAAAUUAAAUGUGAUAAAAUAUUCACGGCCAGUAAACGAGGGACGAAGAGAUAUGUAUUUAAUAUUCCAUCACAUUUUUUAGCACCUUUAAAGGAGGUUUUUGUAUGCUUUCUCUUGAUGCAGUCCACACACAUUUCAAAAUCAGAGAAGUCAAGGUCAUCCAAUUUGCCUUUGUUGAUUAACCUUUAAAUUCUCUAUUUUGAGAUGUGUCUCAACCUCUUAUACCAUAAUAUGCAUUACUUUCUAUUAUUAAUGCCACAUUUUGAUCUAACAUUUUCAUGUAUGGUAAGAAAGAUUUCUCUACAUGAAUGAUCUUAAAAUACUUUAUAUAAAUUAUUUUCUAAAACAGCAAAACUAUCUCAAACUUGUAAGAUAAUGAAAAAACUUUAUUAUUAAAACUGAAACUAUAUCUCAAACCAACAAAUUUCGAAAUAGAAAUUAAAUUCUUAAAAAAAAAAUUUGAACACAAAAUGUAUUAACUAAAUCCAACAUAUGAUCACUAGAAAGAAUUAAUCUAAAUGUUCCCACAAAUUCAACUUUAGUUGAAUUUCCUUCAGUAGUGUAAUUUCCUUUAGUAGUGUAGACAGUGACUUCAUCUUUACUGAGUUUCUGUAGUUCACAAAUUCCUGCACAGAAUUUGCCAACAUGAUAUGUAAGAUCAGAGUCAAUUCACCAUGUAUUAGAUAGAACAGUAACAAAAUGCAACUUAUGCAUCAAAACCAAAAACUUAUCUUUCUUCUGGAGCUAUUUUUAAUACUUCUGACAGUUCUUCAUAUGACUCAUGUUCUUGCAAAGAAAGCAUUUGGGAUACUUAAUUGGCUUUGUGAACCAUAGUUACCAUACAGGACUUUUUUGUUCUUUUUUUUGAGUCAUUUUUAUCCUUUCUAUUCGUAGGCUUCGUUUGGUUUGGGUAUAAGUAAAAACUGCUUAUUUCAAAGAUAGAUACAAAUUCAGGUAUAAACAAGAACUAAACUAAUUUUCCGUUUGGCUGAAAAUUGUGUUGUUCCCGAGAUUAAGAAAAAUAGCGUUUGGUUAGAUAAGAUGGAAUAAUAAGAAUAGUGAGUAGUUAUAAAUAGAAAAUAAUGAUAUUAUCCCUCUCAUUAUACUUGAAUUUAAAUUUUAGAUUUUAAAUUUUAAAUUUUGAAAUUAAAGUUUAAAUUUUAACAUCUCAAAUUUUAAAAUUUAAAAUUUAAAAUUCAACAAUUUUAAUUUAAGAUCAAAUUUAAAUUUGAAAAUUAUAAAAUAUCAAAAUUUAAAUUUAAAAAAUAUAAAAUAUCAAAUUUUAAAUUUGAAAAUUUUUAAAUAUCAAAUUUUAAAUUUAUAUUUUAAAAUUUAAAAUUUAUAAUUUAAAAUUAUAAAUUUUAAUUUGAGAUUACAAAUUAUAAAUUUGAAAAUUUAAAUUCUAAUUUAAAACAAACCUCCCUCUCUCUCUCUCUCUCUCUCCAAUCUCUCUCUCUCUCGUCUAGGGGUUAAUGUGGAACAAGCUCACGGACGGGUUAUCCAGGAUAACCCGUUAAGGUUGAACUGUUGUUCCCUUCGUUUUUUUUUAUUUGGGUACAAACAAGGAAUAAGUCUUAUUCCUCCCUAUCCCGCAGGGACAACCAAGCACACGCUAGUGCGCUUUAUUAUCCUUUUGAAUAAAGCAAAAUUAAUUGUAUUUUGUUAUUUUCUUAGAUUACCCAUUUAUUUCGCUCUUGCCGCCACUACAAAGUCAAUAAUUUAUUGAAUAACUUUUUAUCCUUAUGUAUUGGUAAGGACUCGAGAUUUUUUGCAUUAUAGCUAAACUCUCAAUUGAUGAUGUUUUUGGUGUGUAAUUUUAAUCUUACAAAACAGCUCGUCAGUUUACGGGCGAAAUCGAGCUUAAACACGGAAAUUCUAACUCGCGAUCUCCAAGUUUCCACUUAAGUGAUCGUAACAUCGAUUUUCCCGGAGAAAGCCGCGGUGAGAAGCUGGCUUCUGGGCGUCGUACCGGACUCUGUUUCAUUGAGCAGUCCAAUAGCUCUUUGCGACCGGCUCAGUCUGUUCUGGAACUAAUGACCUGACAGGAUUUUGGUUGACCGCCGGUUUUCGGAUCCAAAAAUCCACUUCUUAAUAUGCUAUUUCGGUGUGUUUUCUUCUCUUGAAGGAAGGUUGGAUUUUGUCGUGAACUCCGUGUCACAUCAAGACGAAAAACGAAAUCGUAGGCUUGUUAUGUCUCCCGUGGUGGCUGAUCGCACCGGUGCAAUCGUUCGCUAAAUCUGACGGAGCGGAUCUGCAGAGAUCUGCGUUGAUCGAGAGAGGUCGUAGUGGCACAAAAAUGUAUUUUCGCGAAGUCGCAACAUUUUAUGUACGCCGUUUUGCGUGAGAUCGACGUGGAGGGGCGCGUAUAUCGCAUGCUACCACGCGUUUAGUCGUUCGGUGGGAAGCACUCGGAUUGAAUUCCGAUGCAUCUUGGUGAUACUGCAUUUGCAAGUUGCGCGCUCCGGUAGAAUUUAUAGUUGCUGUUAGGUUUGCUACUAGAGAACCAUAACCCUAGCCUUGCCCUAGCCACGACGGCCUCCCUCUCCUUUCCCUGCAGCCUGCUGCAUGCGCGCCCCCAAGCGCCAGCGCCGCAGACUGAGCCCCGCCGGCGUCAAUCCGCCGCUCGCAGCCUCUAACUCCUCUCCCCCGCCGCCUCUCUUUCUCUCUGUCCCUUUUCCUUGUUCUCUCCUCGGUUGUGAGGAACCCGAGACGCCGCCACCUUCGGAUCGCCUCCCGAGUCACUCUAGCCGUCUCCGGCGACUUUCCCGCCGACGUCAACCGUCGCCUACCUCAGCGCAGGCCGCAACGCGUCCACCGCGCUGCAGGCGCGACGCAGCCGACCCUGCCAGAGGGCGCCCGGCAGCCCCGCGGCGCGCCAGCCGACCGCUGAUAUCCUGCCCACUGACCAGCGACGCCCACACCAGCCGUGCCGGGUGUUCCGCAGUCGCCGGUCGCCGCCGCCCCGGCGCGCAGCCGCCAGCACGCCUCGUCCAGCCCGCAGUCCGCUCGCCAGACGCCGCUCGGCCGAGCGAGCGUGGCGACUUUGUCCACCUCAUGCGUCGCCGCCGCCCUGGGCCGCCCCUGUGGCACCUCCCCGACCAUCUGGGGCACAGUCAAGCGCCGCCCUACUGCCUCGAGCCGCCGGGCUAGCGAGCAGCCGGCUCAGGGCCGCGCGAGCCGCCUGCAGCCACUCAAGACGGUUGUGUUUUCUUCUCUUGAAAGGAAGGUUGGAUUUUUGUCGUGAAUCCGUUGGUCAAUCAAGACGAAACGAAAUCGUAGCUUUGUUGUCUCCGUGGUGCUGAUCCGCACCGGUGCAAUCCGUUCGCAAAUCUGACGGACGGAUCUGCAGAGAUCGCGCGUUGAUCGAGGAGAGGUCGUAGUGGCAAAAUGGAUCUUCGCGCAAAGUCGCCGACAUUUUAUGUACCGUUUUGCGUGAGAUCGCACGUGGAGGGCGUUCAUGCCGUUUUAGUCGUUCGGUGAAGGGCUCGGAUUGAAAUUCCGAUGUUGGUGGAUCUUUUUGCAAGUUGCGCCUCGGUAUUAUAGUUGCUCUUAGGUUUGCUACUAGAAACCCUAACCCUAGCCUUGCCCUAGCCCAGCCGCCUCCUCUCCUUUCCUGCACCUGCUGCACGCCCAGGCCGCGCCGACUGAGCCCCGGGGCCAACCGCCGCCGCAGCCUCUACUCUCUCUCCCUCCCUCUCUUUCUCUCUCCCUCUCCUCUCCGGUUGUGAGGAGACCGAGACCGCCGCACCUUCGGACCCUCCCCCGGAGUCACCCCGUGCUCCGGCGACUUUCCCCGCCGACCGUCGCCGUCGCCUGCGCCGCCGCAGCCGCUCCAGCCGCCUGCAGCAGCCAGGGCCGAGCCUGGCCGAGCCGGGCUGCCGCAGCCGCCAGCGCGCCGCCGCCGCCUGAUAUCUCUCCCGCCGACGUCCCCGUGCCGGGCGCCCCUUCCCGCCGGUCGCCGCCGCCCGGCGCGCAGGCGCCGCCGCCUCGGCCAGCCCGCAGCCGCAGACCCGCUCGGGCCGAGGCGAGCGUGCGACUCCACCCUCGCGUCGCCGCCGCCCUGGGCCGCCCCUGUGGCACCUCCCGCACCUCUGGCAGUCGGCCGCCUCUGCCCGAGCCGCCCCGAGCGCCGCCUGCAGCGCGGCGAGCCGCUGCAGCCCUCCCAACCGAGCCGAAGCCGCGUGCGGCCUCUUCCCAGCGCCGCCGCCACCUUGGGCCACCCCGUGGUAACUCCCCCGACCUCCUGCAGCCCGCCUCCGCCGUCCCGGAGCUCCCCGGCCGCCGCCGUGGCCGCAGCAACUCCUGGAACCCGAGCCGAUCUCGUGCGGGCUCGGUUUGCUCCGCCGCCGCCGCCGCCGCUUCCAGCCGCCACCUGAGGUGAGCACGGUACUCCUCACCUCCCCCGCACCCGUCCCUGGUCGCCGUGCGCGCCGCCGUGCCGCCGGAGGCCGGCCGGAGCAAGGUUGCUCCGGCCAAGCCCGAAAUAGGGCUAUUGUGGAUGGAUUUGUGUUCCGAGCUUCCUGAGCCUCCCCGAUCUGUACGGAAGGGAGCACGAUGAUCCUGGCAAGUUGCUGAUCAUCGUGCUCACCUUAGUUUCUGUCGGGGAGACUCCGUUCCGCUGUUUCGGCGAUGUCGCUCCGUUUCAGCCUUUUUGGCUGCUGUUUCGGGAUUGUGCUUGUUUAUCCGGCGAUUCGAGGCUGUCCUGAUGCCUCCGGAGGUGAGCACGGUGAUCGUUGGUCAGUGCUGAUCACAGUGCUCACUUCACUUUGGAUCAGAAGUGUCCAGUUAGUUCUGUGCAGCGCGAUCUUCCCUGACUGCGCGCUAUUCGCUGAACCUUCGGGUUGCUCCCGCGCUUCCCACAGUGAGCCGCUGUGCUCCGGAUCGUGAGCACGGACUCCGGUACGUCGAGACCUGUCAGUACGUGUCUCUGCGGACUUUGAAAGUCCUUGGUUUCCGUGAACGAGCCGCUUGAUCGCUCAAAUUACAUAAAAUGAUGAGAUUUUAUGUAAUUAGAGGGUCUUUUAUGCAAUUGUGCUUUGUGUGGCUACUGUGGGCAGCGUGUAUGAGUUUGUAUUGACCGCUGGACUAAUUGUCCAUGGUCCGUUAGCUUUCGCGGAAAUCGGUAGGUCGAUUUCGGUGCGUUUUUCGGCGAAAUUCGCCGAAAGAACGCGGUUUCGGUUCGGAUCCUUUCCGACGGUGUUUGGUUGCUUCGUGUUUUGUCGCUGAGCCUUGUUGGCUGGUCACCAUCGUCAUUUUGUGGGUUCGAUGAUGAUAGGUGAGCGACGGAGGGUUCCGGUGUCGAAAUAGACACUUCAGGGAACCCGGAUUUGUACGAUUAUCCGGCGAUGAUCGUAUUGUUGUGUGACCUUGUGUUCGCUGCCAAGGCAUCCAAAUUGGAAUGUUUUGGGGCAGCGGGUGACCCGUGGUACGAGUCGGUGAGUUCGGGACACUUAGUGGGUCCCGACGGCGUCCCGGUGUGGUUUUCGGGACUUCCGGUGAGUUACGGUAAUCGGUUUUGGGAAAUCGAUUACGGGGAUCCUUUGUGGGGGUUUGUGAGUCUCGUGCUUUGGGUUAGUGGAUUGGAUACUGACUUGGUGGAUCUUCUUAGGUCCGGUCGACUUGUGCGUACCCAGUGUUCCGACGCGACAGUGACAGGUGGGUACUUCGAUCCGAAGUCGGUACAGUGGUGCACGCUCGGUGAUAUUCUUCUAUCCCUGUUCUUCUGCGCUAUUUUCGUAUUAUAUAUUGAGCUUGCAUCCCCGUUGUUUCUAUUAUGCCCUAUUCAUAUGUUCUAUGCUUAGUAUCAUGUGUAGGAGUAGAGUAGUUUAUCCAUAUGUGAUAUCGGUGACCUGAUUGGUCGGUUCUCGUACUUUGUUCCGGUGACCUAAUUGGUCGGUUCUCGUACUUCGUUUCGGUGACCUAGUUGAUCGGUGCUUUUAUCUUAUAUCUGUUGACCUGGUUAGUCGGUCGUUGCAUUAUGUAUUGGGUUGGUCUGUUUCUUGACUUCUGUUGUUCGAUGACCUUUGAGGUCGGUGUACCCUGAGGGGUAGGAUUGUCGGCUGGUGCUGACGGUAGUUCUGGACUAUGUCGAAUACACUCCUGUGACCAUCGGUCGGUUCUUGCGUUCGUACUUUUAGUUGACAUCGAGCAGUAUCUACAUAUUAUCUUCAUUUACUCUGCCUGGUUGUUCUAUGUGUAGUAUCCUGUAUAGGGGUAGAGUAGAUGGCAUUCGUAUAUACUAUACUUGUGACCUGGUUGGUCGGUUCUCCUAUUUGCAUCGGUGACCUGUUUGGUCGUUCGUUACUUUCCGUACAUUGACCUAUCUCGGUCGGUUCACGUUGUUACUUGAUGACCUACACGGUCGGUAUGCCCAGAGGGGCAGUGAUUGUCGGCUGAUUGCCGACGGUUGGCUAUUGAUCAUAUCCGCAUUGAUCGCCACAGCUCGAGUGCAUUUCACGUACACCAGCGGGUUGAUCCCCCGCAGGAGGGUGUUCUUUUCCGGAAAAGUGGUCGUACAUCCGACCCGUGAGCCCAACGGUGUUCUCUUUGUGCUAGGGUUACAUGCCAGGUAUGAGCAGAUAGUGGCUUUUGCCUGAGGUCCUUAGACCGACACGGAGGUUUAGAUUGGGUACUUUUGGGACUUCUCGUCCGGUUGACGCAUAUAGCUAUAGUAGCGGUUGUUGCAUAUGUACAUCUAGUUCUUUCUUUACAGUUGUCUUGCUACUAUAGUUUUGAUAUCCUUGUAUGCUUGCAGUUGUACAUUACAAUAGCGGUAGUUGUGCUUUAUAUAUAUAUAUAUAUAUAUAUAUCUCGUUCGUUCAUUAUCGUUGCUACUGUAUUUUACUAACCCAUACUGUUGGUUAUCUCUUCCUGAUCCGGUGAGUACUCCUCGCCUUCUUCGGCUUGCGGUACCCACUGGGAGGGGAGACAUGUUUACAUGUUCUCACCUCCCCCACUGUUUUUCAGGUAUUGCAGGCAUUGGGUUUUGGGACGAGACGUGAGGUACGUUUGUAGCGGUCGAUAGAGCUUUCGACCCAGGUUAAUUCGGUUUACUUUCUUACCCUUCUUAUUUUGGCUGAUGAAUGGUCUAGUUGGUUUAUGUGGUUCAGUGUUCAUUUACAUUCGAAAAUGUGGAUUUCUGGAUUUUGUAAAAUAAAAAGUUUUCUACCCCUCGUGGUAGCAUUUUUAAAGAAUAAAGGUUCCUGUGUAGGGAACAGUUUUCAAAAGAUUUUCUAUGGAUUUAUAUUUAGACAUUGAAUGCAUAUCUGUGAUGUGAAUGGUGAAUGUAUGAAUGUAUGGUAAUUUCUAUAUUCAUAUAGUUGUGGGUGUAUCCUGUUUGUACUGUUGUACUUGUGCGACGCCGUGCAAAUACAGGGGAGACUCUGUCCGUGUGAACAGUGGAAUCUCUGUAUUUGUGGCGGGUCUGGCAUACUCUGGGGUCAGGAUUUCAAAAAAAAAAAAAAAUUUCAAACGCUAAUCCGCUGAGUUUCAAACAAAAAGGGGACCCCAAGGCGUGACAUCGGAUUUGAAAAGAGGAUUUCUCAAAAUCCGUAGGAAUAAAAUUUGACAAUCGACAAUCGAGAUCGGGUUUAUAAAAAUCAAAACUAAAAUCGAACAGUCGACAUCUCUUAGGUGCGACGUUUAUAGUCAAAGAGGUAAAAAGCAGUCCAAUAAGUAUAUAGAAUAUACAAAAUUUACGCAAUUAAAUCAUAUGGAGAAUACGUGAUAUAAAAUUAAAUAGUUCAAUUCAAACGAUAAAAAUUAGAUCAAAGCAAAUCAGAUUUAAAUAGUUUUCAUUCUAAUCAUCAAGAGAUAAGUAUUCGGAAAUAAUCAUAUAGCCAUGAACAAGAAGGUUAGAUGUUCUCANUCUGGGGUCAGGAUUUCAAAAAAAAAAAAAAAAAUUUAGACGCUUUUCCGCUAUCUUUUAAACUCAAAGGGACCCCGGGGCGUGACAUGUAUAUUAUAAGAGAUCUAAAAUGGUUUCUAUUCAGAUAGUAAAGAGUUCAAAAUAAAGUACGCUAAGAAUGAAUCAGAGAUGAUUACUUUAAGUGCAUAGAGCUCCACUGCCAUAUUUCAAAUUUUCAUAAUAUACUUAAGAAUCUUGCCUUUUUCGGAGUACUUCAUGAAAGUAGCUUGUUUAUCGGGGUGCUCACCAAAGCUUUACUGAAGCUUACAAAUUGUUGCUCUACUAUAUUCAAAAAAUUGCAAAUUGUCUUACAUUCUGGAAUUGAAUUCUGAAUAUUUUUACUAACACGCUCCUUCAUCAACAUUAAUCUAAGCCGAUUAGAGCAUUCCCACUUUCUUUGAAACGUUGUUUACUCUAGUGUCACGCCCCGGAUGUCUCGUUCUCCGGGCACGCCGACAAAUCUGCCGUAUACAAAGGAAUUUUCCCUUUAUACGAAGCGACAGCUGUACCUGUAAAUCCAACACUACUACUAACAGUAGUAGAGAGCUGCUAGAGAAAACAGAAGCUAAACCAACUGAGUUUCAUAUACAUAGUCUAAAACCAAAAUACAGAGCUACUUGCACUCGCGAGUUAAGUCUACUAUGUACAUAAACUCGAAACAAAACAUCUACCUGCAGUAGGGGCACCUCUAGCUCAGCACGACGGGUAGGGCUCUAACUCGCGACGCUCUUGCCUCGAUCCUGAUCCAUGGAAGGCGCAGCAGCCAGAACCUGUGGCUCUGCAAAACGGGGGUAACAACUGGGCGUGAGAACUACUGUAAAAGCAAGUAGUCCUCAGUGGGUGCCGCCCAAACAACAUCGGUCCACCCACUAAGUCUACAGAGGGGAGCCAGGAUAGUAGGAAAAGCAGGAAGUAAACUCUACCGCUAUCAAUCACUACACUAUCAUGCUCUACACUAACCAACUGUAGGAAAUGUCAAAUCUGACCCAAUCCAAUCGGGACUGUAAACAUACCCGUCCCUGGGACUGUGAAUACACCCGUCCCUGCCCCGUUGCGACUAUCCAGCUACCUCCACACUAACUGGUCCGUGGAGAGCAAGUCCAACUGGCAUGAGCGACACCAACGCAAAAGCACAAGCCGUCUCCGGAGUGGCACUCGUGGGCGCUACCCAACCGAGUAUGCAGCGUAUCUCUGUCGAGCUCAAACAGGCUCUGAAAAGCCAAAGUCAAGUAACCGACUCUAACUGGUCUAACAACCAACAAGUAACGUGCCCUCGGCACAAUCUGACGCCAAAACGACGAACCGGGCCCACCGUCAACCCCAACGGCGCCCAUAAGUCUGAAACAGCCCAAACGACCCUGUAAAAAUCCACUCGGCGUACCAGCACGAGCGUAAAAGUAUUCUAAACUACCUGGAGUACUUGUCUCGAGGACACUGCGACAGUACAAUUUAUAACGGCUCCUAGAGCUAAAUCAGGUAGUAUGGACAGGUGACAGGUCCAAAUCGCUAGUUUUCUCUUAAGUCAAGUUCCAAGUCCAACAUGUAUAUUCAACUAACUACUAUUCAUGCUCCAAAUUCAGAUUUCACACAAUAAACUAAUCGAUGAAUUUGAGCUAUAACAUGAUAUUCCGAAGUUGAAGCUAUACAUGUUCACCAUACAUAACUUAGGAGCAAAACCGAUGAUAAACCCACCUCGCACGCUAAUCCCUGGCAGCGAAACACCCUCCCAGCUGCGACACCACCUGCUGGGUCAAUCACACUGCUCCGAGUCCAGAAAUCGUCUAAGCUCGAGCUCUACACAACAACAUUCACCGUUUUAGUCCAGGAAUCAUAGUAGCAAGGUACAACAAGGAUUCGACAAGGCUAACCUUCACCAAAUCUAGCAAGUAAGGGCUUCGUGGAUUCCUCUCGAAGUCCCGAAUCCAACGAACCAAGUCCUGUCAAAAACCGAUGCUCCUACGCCGAGUACGAGCUGAAAUACCAACGGUCGACGGCGAAAAUAGUAAAACAGCACUUAAGCUCAACUUGUUGAUACUUGAAGCACUUGAAGCCAAUGCAACGGAACGCUCACCUCGACAGCGACUAGCACCGGCGCGACGUCAAGAACAGGAAAGACGCACCCUCGCCCGGCCUCCUCGCAAAGCUCCGGCAACAACCGUAUCCCCGAACGGCUCCGCGACACGACGUCGGCGACGAAUUCGAACUACAACAGUCUCCUUCUUGCUCGGCCGAUGCUAGAGAGAGAGAGAGGAAGAAGAACAAGUAAAACUCUCCUCUCUCAGCUCUCUACGCAUGUAAAUAACAGUAGGUGGGGUGGGGUGAUACAAACGAGGGAUAAAAUUACUCAUUUAGCCCUCUACCUACCCCCUUGUACCGGUACACGGGCUCCUGUACCGGUACAAGAGCCAACCCGAGAGCAGCUAAACCAGUGCGCGCUGGUUGUACCGGUACAGCGUGCUGGUUGUACCGGUACAGCAAGCAAAGAAAUCUGCUGUUUUGCAUAUUUCUUCGCUAUAAGCUGCCCUCGCGUCGCACGGAGUUCAUUUUGCGUCUAUUUGACGCCAACGCGACUCGGACUUGUCCCGACACUCUCCAGAGCUGUCGACAAGCCUUCACAGCUGAACACCUGGGAUCUCACAUCUAGUGUACUUUGAUUUGUAAGAGCACUAGGAUUUUCUCCCCUAGAGCAAAAUUGAGAUCUAUAUACCGUAAGGAAGUGAAUCCUCAAUACGUAAAACCGAACUUCAAUCAAAAUUGAUCGACGGUUAGUUCGGGACACUUCGGAAAGGCCGAAUGCGUCGAAAAUAACUUCUAUAGGGUGCAGAGGACCUUGAAGAGCAAGAUGUUGAAAUUCUGCAAUUUGCAAAAUUUAUACACUCUCGGGGUCCGGACCCUAGCUACAGGGUCCGGACCCCGUAGCCAAAAACUGUCCAGUUCGGGCUGUGCACUAAUUGCAUUGUUUGAGAGGUUUUCAACAAUUAUGCAUGAGUAGAGUUAAAAGAGAGGUUGUAUGAGUUCUUCCUCUUCACUCUCUCUCACUUGUAGCCCUAAAGCUCUCCCUCUCUCUCUCUAAGAAGCUCUCUCUCUCUAGGGUGGAUCAAGAGGAGAAGGAGGUGGAGAUUGGAGCUUGAGGGAAGAACACCAUCAUCAUCUUCUUCCUUUGCAUGGAGGGGAAAAACUUGUUGAGGUAAGCUCUUUGAGCUCUCAUGGUGGAUUUCUAGGGUUAUUUUUGAAUGCUCUAGAAAUGGGUUUAGAGGACUCCCUAGGUAAUAGUAACAUGCUAUUUGUUUGAAUCAAGAAGUGGUAUUGGGUUUCUUGCUAUAGUAGUAUGUUAGGGCUCGAAAAGGGGGUUUUAUUAUAUAAGAGGAUUUGAUCUAAAUUAACCCUAUGUAAACCUAAUUGCUAGGUUUUCUGAUGCGUAGGUGGCCUCGGUUUGGCAAUUCGACGAGGCUACGCGAAGAUAUUGGGAAAAAGGACCGUUUGAGCUUCGUUUUCGCUUGGAGGGCCAGGCGACGUCCAAAAAUCGCGAAAUCGGGUUUCUAGAGUGGUGACAUCACUAAAAGGUGGGGGGUGCCACCCGAAGCAGUUGAGCUGCCUUCUAUGUCUAAGAUUGCAUUAUUGGCCUUGCAUCUCUUAUGUUGCAUGUAUUGUAGGAUCGUAGUUGUUAUAUUCCUAUUCCUUAUGCACUUUCCUAGUGAUAUCAUAUUGUGAGAUGGACACAUGAUAUAGUGGAUAUGUAAGGAUUGGGUCUUGACAUUGGAAAUCCUAUAGUGCCGAAAAAAGAGAUGAACUUGAUGUUAUGUAGUGACAUAACGAGUGGCAUGUAAACAAUAUUGGUGACAUGAUGAGUGGCAUGAAAACUUAGUAUAGAAAAAACACUUAUGACAUAGUGAAUUUAGGGAUAGGUGAAUUCCCUAGCUAUGAUAUAUUGCAUGAGAACUUAGUGUGAUUGAGACACUUGACAUGGAUAAUGGGAUAGUUGAGUUCUCGAGUUGCUAUUAGCCCUAGUUGACAGGGUAUCCUCAGUUGACGAGGAUUGGAUUAUACUCACAGAGUCUGUUUUUGCUUGGGGUGGUCGCUCCACACAAGCAAUGAGCUCCGGAGUCUUCACGUGAUGGACUAAUGUACUUGUCCAGCAGACGGUGUCGUGUUUGCGAGCAAGGAGGGUCUCCUUACCUAUGAGAUGACAUGGUGAGUCAAGGGCAAACCUUCGGGUUAGUCAAGUGAUUGGGUGAACACAUGAAUGACAUUACUUGUUGAACAUAGUAGCAUGAUAGCUGACUUCAUUACUAUAUAGUUUAUGCAUUUAUUUCAGUUGAUAGAGGCAUGGUAGCAUGUUGCAGAUAUUAUUGUAUAGCAGUUGAUUUCAUAUUUAUCUAUUUAUCUAUCUGUUUAUGCCUGCUUAGACUUAGUGGGAAGAUCGGCAGAAUCGGCGGCCGAACCCACUGGGAACUAUGGAGAAUAGUUCUCAUCCCACUUUGUUGCAGUGCCGAGUUCGAGCGGACCGGGUGAGGACAGCGGUAAGGGCAUAGCGCCCUAGCAGUUAGUGGCAUUCCUUUUGCAUUAGAACCACCCUAUUUACAUGACUGUUAGAUGAUGUAUAGGUGGUGAGAUGCUUUUGGAAAGUUGGAUUUACACUUAUGUUAUGAUGAGAUGAACUUGUAAAAACUUAUGUUUACAUUUUGGAAGAUGGAAAUGUAAUCAAUUGUGUAAGUGUUGAAUGUCAAAUAUAAUAGAUAGAAUUCUCUCUUGUCUACUUGUGGUAUUGUGGUAUUACUUGCUUUAUAUCUCGCAAUGAUCAUGUAUGUUGUUUAAGUUUUUUCUGGGCAACUCGUAUGUACAUGAUUCUGUCGACCAAAUUAGCGGUCGCGGGGCGUGACAUAUACACUCUAAUGUAAGUAUGAUUCGUUCUUUCCAUUUCGAGUAAUUAAAACUACUAACCAUAGGAACAAAAAACCAAUAGGAAAAAAGGAUGAAGUUAUCAUUGAAAUAUAAAAUAAAAUACUUGUUUUAUCAAUAAAGUAGCACAUUUAAGUUUUACCAUACAAAAAUUAGAAAAUAUACUUUAUAUGAUAUUACAACAUCUCCUUUGUGAAUAGAAUUAUAAGUAUAUGUAUUUCUCUUUCCUUAUGUAUAAAUAUUAUAUGACAUCAUAACCCCUUCUUUGAGAGCAGAGUUACAAUCAUAAAUAUGCAAUUUUUUUUUUGAAAGAUAGGUAGCGCGCUACCCGCUUCGUCGAUUUCAUUUAGAAAUAAACUUAACUAAAAAUGUGAAUUAAUUUGGAUUCGAACUUUAUGACCUCGGGUACCAACCACCAAGCCCUAUGCCACUUGCUCUAGGGAUAGUCAGUAAAUAUGCAAUCUCAAAAGUUAAUUUAAACUUUCUACAGUUCAUAGCAAUCUCAAGUUUGAGGUAGACUCAUGCGCUUUCGAAAGCAUGGAGGCCUACGUUCUUAUAAGCUGUUUUCGAUGAUAGGAUAUUCGAUUCGACGAUCGACUCAAUUAGACAUGAUCUACGCUAUUAGAACUACUUAGAAACCAAAUUUCAUAAUUUUUUGAUUUGUUUGCUUAGUGACCAAGUAGUCUCAUAAAAAAUGAUUGGAAACUAGACCCAGCAAACAAAUCAAAAUGAACGACUGAAAGUAAAAAUCUCAUAAAAAAUAAUAAUAAAAGACUCAAAUUUAAAAUCGAAAGUAUUUUUCUUGCUUUUGAUGUUAAGUAAAAUUUUUUAUUACAGUUUCAUAUAAUUUGGACUCUUCUACACCAUUGAACAUACAAACGUGUCAUAUUGGCCGUCAAAAUAGUUAUUUUUUAGAUCCUUUGAUCACUUGGUAAAUGAUGUCGAAAAUUUAUGAAAUUUGGUUUCUAAAUAGUUCUAAUAAUAUAGAUUAUAUUUAACGCAGCCGAUUUCGAAUCAGAUGUCCCAUCAUCGAAAAUAACUUAAAAGCACGGAGGCCUAUGUGCUUUUGAAAGCACAGGAGACGUGCUCCUCAAGUUUUUUAUGUGUAGAAAUUAUCAGCUUUAAUCAAGCAAAUUUCUCCAAAUGGGCUAUAAGAAAAACUAUCAUCCUACACAACCUAUAUACAUCUUCAUAUUUAGACCUCCUUUAGGAGCAAACUAAACAUAAUAUUAUGGUGCAAUUUUUGCAUAUGCUUCUUUAAAACAAUUAAUUGAUUUUUUUUUUUUUUCUGGUCAGAACCACUUUGGUUUACGCUUGAACAGUUGAAAUAAUAAAUUAAUCUAACUUACUUUUUUAUAAUUAACAAGAAAAUUACCAAAACCACUAAUUUAAAGUAAAUUAAGCCAUUAUUUUUCUUAAUUAGUGCCGCUUUGGUUUGUAUCUAACCAAUCGAAAUUAUUAAAUUCAUUCAGCUAGCGUCGAGCCUCAAAUAAUCUAACAAUAAUUAUGAUUAUUUAAUUUUCGUAUUAUGUCUGAUCAAAAUAACACACUAUAAUAUACAAAAGUAUAAAUACAAUAAUUUAAGGCAUAAUAUCACAAUCAUAAUGUAAACUUUAUGCAUCCUUAUGUGACUAUAAACACAAGGUAUUUAAAAAUUAACUUUAUAACAAGUCUAUAUUGUAUACAAAAUCAAAAUUCAUAUGAACAAAUUUUUUUAUGCUCACAUCACUUCAUAAAGAGAAAUCUUCUUUAUCGGUCGAAUUUUAAUUACUAACAGCAAUAAAAAUGCCAAUUUGCAGAUUAUUAAGAGAGCUGCUAUAAUCCGUAAUUUGCAAAUUGGUCCCUAUAGUUUUAUUCCACAAAAUGGAACCAAAAUGUACCAAAAAUGCUUUCUUUGUACUUAGUAGGACCGAUGCACUCACAUUUGUCUCACUAAAACAAAAAGCAAAAUAAACCCAAUUUCUAUUAAGCGACUGUUCAUCUUCUUCCUAGACUUUUCAUAAACCCUUGAUCCCUGAGUUAUGAUUGGCUGGAUAUAGAUGAUGUGAUAUAAGUGUUACAUAGUAGACUUUCUUGUAUCCAGCCCAUCUCAUUUACAUUUGUCACACAAUUGCUGUAACAUCCCAAUGGGCCACCUUAAUAAUAAUAAUUGGACUUAAGCAUUUUAGGCUGGUGAUUUGGGUCAAACGAAUUAUAAUUGCUAGUAGAUUGAAUCGUUAUAUUUGAUAUCAAAACCAGUUCACCAGCUGAAAGUGUGAGAUGAGUCUUAACUGAGUUAAGGUCGGAAUGACAGACUAAGUCAGGGUCAGUGAUUGAUAAGCUAAGUCAGUGUCGGAAUGACAAAGACUAACGAGAUAAGUCUCACAUCGUCUGAUAAUCUUGGACUGUGUGUUUAGGACUGACAAGGACGUCAGAGCCUAAAUGGGAGAGUCUAUGACAUCCCAAUGGGCCACCAAAGUAAUAAUAGCUGGGCUUAAACAAUUUGAACAUGUGAUUUGAAUCCAACGAGUUAUUAUUGCUAAUGGGUUGGGUCGUUACAAUCGCGCUAAGUAGUGCCCGAUGAACGCGCUUAACAGGCCCUCGCAAUCUCGGGCAAUCGAGAUUCGGACCGGCGUCAGCCAUGCUUUGGGUUGGCGUCCAAGCAUCCAGGAAGAUAAACAGUGCACUUUUUUUUUUUAUUUUAUUUUCUUUUGGUCUAUUAGUUAUAAUCCGACCCAAUUUAAACUAUGCAUACAAUAAGAGCUUACUGAUUAAUAAUAAUCUUGUUAUGAUACCAAUUGAUAGAUUUAUAUUGGCAUGUAAAAAUAAUAAAAUUAAAUAUAUACAAAUCUCGGGGAUCAAAAAUAGAAUAAGAUAUAACUCACAGAGCAUCAUAAAGAAGAAAUUUUUAAUCAAUCUACGAAAGCGUGAAGUCCAGUUGCAAUAUUAACAUCACUAACGGAACUUGGAUAAUUUGAUUUCUCUUGUUGUCUUAUUGACUCUCUCGCAUGGUGAGGAACAGAUGAUAAUUUUUUAUCAGAAUGCUUGUGAGAAGGUGGCUGGAUCAAUACCUCUUUAUAUAGAGCUUAGAUCGAUCUUCCUAUCAAAAUUUGAUUAGAAAUCUAUUUAAUUUAAAUAAUUAAAAAAUAGAUAAAAUAUAUUAUAUCAAGUAGUUUUAUCUCUACUAGAUUGACUUUUAUUUAUAAUAAAAUUUGGAUUUGAGUAUGAUUAAUUGAGCCAUAUAUAUGUAAAGUUUCUAAAACGCAAAUUUUCUGUUUAUAUUCGAAACCUUGAACCCAUAUUCCACAACAAGAGACAGGAGCUCAAAAUCAAUAAAAUUAAACAUAGAAGGCUAGGGUAUUACAAUUUCUAUUUUUAGUAAAUUUGAUUUAUGUUCGAACCACUAUUUCAUCAAUCCAAACACAACCAAACUCUCUCUGUUUGGCGGCGCUUGUCGCUCGCAUCAUAAUGCGCCAUGUUCUUAACGCCAUUAAAUCGUGUCGUUUCUACAAUACGGGUUAGCUGAAUCGACUAAUAUGAUAGUAGAGUUAUAACAUAAGACAUUGAUUGCAACUUGCAGGAUCAAAAACACAAAAUAGUCUUAAAUGAUGGUCUGGCGGUCAAUUGUAAAGUAAAAUCAAGAGAUGCAAAUCAAUUCGACUUUUCAAAUAGUGUGCAAGAAUUUUCUACCAAUGAGACUGCAGGAAAUACAUGACUGUUUGUCAUCACCGAUAAAUAAUUUUCUUUGCGAUGUGACCUUCCGUUUCUUUAUUAUUACAAAAUAUACUCUUUUAUUUCUUUAUUUGACUAGCAUGAUUUUUAUUUGUUUAUGUAUUUAGUGUCCUCUUAUGUACUAAAACUUUCCUUUGUUGAUUCUAAGAGAAUAUAAAAUUAGUCAAUUAAGAAUUAAAUAAUGAAUCUUUUUAUUAUUAUUAUUUAUGAAUCACGCAUUCUUAUUGAACAAGUUUAUCUUAACCAAAAGUCCUUUUCCUUUAAAUAUUUUAGAUGCAAAAGCUUGAGUUGUUUAGUGGAGGUGCAUGGUUUUUAGACAAAUUUCAAAAAAAUAAUUUUCUAGCUGAAAAAAGUUUUUUUUUUAUUUGUUUGACCUUUGAAAUGUUUUCUUUUCGUUUUCAAACUUUUUAUUAGGAAAAUAGAAAUUAUAAAAAAAAGGUUCCCAGAGAAGAUUUUUCUUUUCUAUUUUCAUUUCGAAAUACAGUUUUCAGCGACAUUCUGACUAUAAGAAAAACGGCAUAUAGCGACACUUUUUAAUAUCGAUACAGGUAAAAAAAAUACUGCUAGCUAAAUUAUCGAUAUUUUUUAAAAGGGUUGCUAUAUGUGGGGUCGCUACAUGUGGGGCCGCCUCGAUGUCACCCACUCUUCCAGCGAUCUGUGGCGGAGGGACACGUGAUGAUCGUAGUCUUCUACGGUCCUUGCAAGAUCCUCGCGACCGAACUCCAACUGUCGAAACUCUACUUUGUCGACUACGGCGGCGAAGGAGGAGAAUGGAAGAUGGUGAUCAAUUUUUUCUUUUUUUUUUUUUUUUAUUCUUUAAGCCAGUGGGCUGGGAGGGGUUGGUUGAGUAGAGGACUUUUUUAUUUUUGAUUGGAUUGGACUUUAUAUUUAGGCUUUAGUAAAUUUUUUUUUAAAAAUUUUGGCAUAAAUCAAACACUUACAUAAAGUGUCUCAAAAAUAUAUUCCUAUAACCUAAUUCUGUUCUAGUGAGAACGAACCAAAUACCCCCUAAUAGAAAAAUUAUAUUUUGGUUAAAAUUCAUUGCAAUCAUGAGUAUUAGAUUCUAUGUAAUCUUCAACAAAAUCGGAAAGCGAGCAAUUGAUUACUAUAGAGCUUUUUAUCUAUGACUUUUAAAAAUUGAUUAAGUGCUAAUGAGAAAAAUUCUAGAAAAAUUAAUACGUGCAUUAAUUGUAUUAUAGCGCGAAGCAAAAUAUCUUAUAAAAAUGAGAAUUGCUUCAAUAGAUCGGCCAAUUUAAAUUUUGCUCAACAGGUUACCAAUCAAGAUCAAUCGUGAAGACAAUAUGGAAAAUAUAUACAAACCAAUUAUCAAAUUUGAUAACAUCCAACAAAUUUUUGUUUCCUAAUUUAACUUUGUUACGUAACAAAUUAGAUAAUGGCUAAUUUGAUAAAUGACAAAUCUUUAUAAAAUUUAGAAUUUAAAAUUUAACUUAAAGUUUAAACUUUAUAUUUAUAAUUGUAUAUAUAAAAUUCAAAUUUAAAUUUAAAUUUCAAAAAAAUUAUAUUUAAAUGAGUAAUACAUUUCAAUUCAAAUUAUCAAUUCAAUAUUAAAAUAACAUGAAAGUUAAAAAAAUAUUAGUCUAUUUUAAAUUAUAAUUUAAGUUACACUGUACUUAGAAUAUUAAAAUAACAUGAAAGUUAAAAAAAUAUUAGUCUAUUUUAAAUUAUAAUUUAAGUUACACUGUACUUAUAAACCCAACUUUUAUUAUUUAUUUAAAUAACAGGUUCUAUGUUUUAAAGGAAGUUCAAAUUGUUAAUCAACAUUGAAAAACAGCAUUAAAGUUCAAAAAUAUUAAUCGAACUUAAAUUUUAAAUCUAGAUUUAAUUUAUAUUAUAGUUAGAAAAUAAAUUUAAAGUUUCUGUUGUUUGAAAAUUAACUUUAAAUUAUAAAUCACUAAAACUUAUGACCCAAUGUCAUCACAAAUUAUUAUUAAAAGAAAUCAACCUUCAAAAUCGAUAAUCCAAUUAAAAAUUCAUUCUCUCCAUGGCAUAGUAUGCAAAACUUUUCAAAAUUGAUUCCUCAACUUUUCAAUAUUGGCCCUUUUUUUUUCCCCAAAAAGUUCAUAAUUUCACGUACUCGGUGACAGAUAAUGCUUGUGGAAUAGCAAAUCAUCUUUUUUUACACAUAAAUCUUAACCCUUUAUUGAUUAGAAAUAAGCGGCUAAAAUUAGAAUGAAGUACUGAAGUAUUGCUCUAAAUAAAUUAGCAGUAAAAUGGAAGUGAGAAAAAUUUUCUAAUAUAAACUUGUUUAUAACUCGGAGUAGAGUUAGAAUGGUUCUAGAAUAAAUCAGGACAUCUACUUUCGCGCCAUUUUCAACAAUGUAGUAUUAAAAUCGAGGAUCAAUACUAUUUAAUUUGAUUUAUACCUUUUGAAUAUGAGUCAAAUUUUGAAACCUUUUUAAUAUCAUUUGCAUAUCAUUCAAGUGGUUUCAAAAUUGACAAUGAGUAAUUUGAGGUUAGUUUAGAGCAAUAAUCACUAGAUAAAUGAUGCCAUAAAAUCGUGAAAUUCGCUUUCUAUGAAAGUUCGAAUAGUCUAAAUUGUUAUUGUUUUGAAUACCCCAUUUCGGAAUACCCCAUAAACGGAAAUAAUACAGAAAUAAACACCUAUAUUUACUGUGAGGGUAGGGAUGUCAAUGGAUACGAAUACUCAAAAUUUUAUCCGAACCCAAAUCCGAACGGGACAGAUUUACUUGAUACUAAACGGAAAUAGUUUCGAAUACGGGUAUAAAAAAUAAAGACCGGACGAAUUUGGUUAUGGCUUUCGAUAUUUUCUGUAUCCGAUCUGAACCUGAAGAAUUUGUAUUUUCAAGGUUUGGAUUUAAUGUAGUAUGCUUUGAAAUGUGGUACGUAGAAUAAUUGUUUCGGACUUGGGUUUGGAUUCGGAUUUCGGAUUUUUCGUCAGACUCGUGUUUGGAUAUGGGUUUAUAAAAUCUCGUGAAUUCAGGUUCGGGUUUGGUAGUUGCCUUCGGGUUUGGAUUUUUUAGAACCUGCCCCGAAUCCGACCAGUUGACAUCCCCGUGUGAUGGCUAGGGCAUGUCGCAGUAAAAUCAGAAGUGAGAACUUGGCUUGGUACAUCGAAAAAUGGGGCUAAUUGGGCCUAGCUUAUCGGGUCGGGCUAAGACCGGUAUAUCGGGUCAGAAAAGCUAGGUCUAAAAUUAUAGGGCCGAAAAGCCCAGGCCGGACCUGAGCCACCUAAACUUUCAAACUCUUAUAUUCACCACCCAAAUUUUCAAAAUUUUGAAUUUAACCCCUUUUAUAUUCAUAAAUGAUGUAAAAUAAAAAAAGGCAACACUGACUUGAAGGAAAUGAUCGGCCAUGGCAUUUUUCAUCGGUUUAAACUACGGCUGGCAAUCCAUCUCGUUGCUCGUGAGCCGGAUCGUAUUCGGCUCGAAAUAAGCUCGAGGUGUUCGGCUUAUUUAAUUAACGAGCCGAACACGAGCUAUAAUGAGUAUCGAGCCGAAAAAUUCAGUUCGUGUUCCGGUUGUUAAUAAACGAGCUGAAAACAAGCUAAAUUUUUCAGCUCGAAAUUUUAACGAGCCAGCUCGUGUUCAGCUUGUUUAAUAAAAUGGAUGAACACGAGUUGAUCCCAGUUCGCUCCUGUUCAGCUUGUGGUCAAGAAACAUUAAAGAAUGUGUGCUAGUCAAAUAGAUAACUAUUUUUGGUGCUAAAUAUCUCUUUUGUGGAUAAAAUCCACAGUAAUUGUCAUAUUUAACUUGAAAAAAUUAAAUGUCAAAAAUUAAUUUCUACACCGUAACACUGAUUUUUGACGGUUUGUGUUCUUUAUUAUUUAUUGACCAUUUGACUAGUAUUGGUCACUUAAAAUUCUUAAAAUAUAAAUAGAUAGUCAAUUACAAAAUUUCAAAAGUUAAGAGGAAAAAAAUAUAAAAUUUUGAAAGUUUACACGGCUAUCCGCAAUAAGUGAAAAUUCUCAAAUUCCUAUUUCCUUUUCACCGGUCGAAACCCGGUCCGGCCGACACGGCUCGGCUUUGGUCAUGCUCUAAACUUUUUUAUCUGAUGAUAUAGGUGAAAAAGUGGGGGUUUUUUUUUAUGCAUUUAGCCCCCUUAAUUUUGUUUUUAAAAUAGCUUCAGUAAAUUUAUAUUUAAAGAAAUGACUCUUUUUCUGCCACACGAGCGUCACGUUGGAUAGCGAAGGGCCGUGUUAAGUUGAAUACAGUGGUGCACUCACUCGCCGUGUUUAAGAGCAGUAGCUGGAUUACCAUAUUCAUAUCAAUCCUAAUCGCUACGUUUCGACUUAGGAAGGAUGGGAAUUAUUAGGGUGCGUUUGGUUCGCACUAUAAAAGAUUACUAGCAAUAAAAAGAUAUCCGAAAAUCUUAUUCCUAUUCAUCCUAUUACUAAGAAUGUGGCAUUGCUGUGUUUGGUUCGCACAGUUAUAUUAUUUAGUCAUGUUAUUUAAGUUUACAAAAAAUAUACAAUUAAUUUAUUUAUUUCUUAAAUUAAUUUUAGAUAAUGCCACCAAAACUUUCAACAUCUUUUUAGAAAAAGGGAGAGAGAGAACAUAGGUUAGAAAGUGGAGAAUAAUUAAAGAAAUAGGAAGAGAAAUAGAGUCGAGAUUAGAGGGAGUGAGAGAGUUGAGAUUUUAGAAAAAGAGGGGGAGAUGAGCUUAGUUUAGAGAGAGAAAAAGAGUUGAAGUUUAAAGAGAAAAAAAAAAAGUUUAGAGAGAGAUACGAGGUUAGAGUGUAAAGAAAAAUAAUACCAACUAGCCGGCAGGUAGGGAGAAAGAAAAAGAUUAGACAUAUUAUGAUUAUCCCAAUUUAUUAAUAUGAUGAUACCCACCCUUCCUCAAGAGAAUGAGAUUAGUACUUUGGGAUGAAUCUAAUUCCCAAGUAAAUUAAAUAUCACCAACUAGAUUACUUAGUGCGUUUAGCCAAAUACCGUCAUAUUUUUUUAUUUCUAUUAAAUUAUUAGAAAUUUUAAAAAGAUAACACGAACCAAACGCACCCUUAAAGUAAUACGGUAAGUAGGUUGUUUAGUCAAAGAAGGUAAAAGAUAAAUAGAAUAAGAAAUGCACAGGAAAAAAGUUUUGUCUUAUUUUAAGUACAUGUAUGGUUUUAUUCUCCUUUAAUUAAAUGGUUCUUUACACUCACGUGAUUAAAUUAAUGGCUUCUUUUAAGGGCAGGUACCCACUUUUUUCUUUUUUCUUUUUUCUUUUUUUUUAAUAUUUGUCUAAGAAUAAAAAACGUGCUUCAGAAGUAAGAAGUUGUUUAUUUAUUUUAGCAUUAAUUUCAAAUUGUCUGCAUGUGGUUUAGUUUAUUUUCACUUUGCCACCCCAUAGUUCAAAAUUUUCACUUUGCCCCCUAUGGUAUAGCUCAUUUUGACUUUACUAAUCUACAUUCCAAAAAAUUACAUUUUACCUCCAUAUGGUUUAGCGCAUUUUCACUUUGCCGCCAUGUGAUUUGUCUUAAAAAUUUGUAAUUUGCCAUUUUAUUUCAUAUAGAGUGUUUUGAUAAAAUAAAAGCCAAUAAAGGCGAAAUGAAAGGUUUUGAUCCACAGAAUGCCAAAGUGAAAAUAAACUAAACUGUAUGACUGAAAACUGUUUGUUAUUGUCAUUUAAUUAAUGGCUCUAACAGAAUAUUUUAUUAAACUUCAAUUCAAGUCGUUACGUAAUAAUCUCGAUUAAUGGCUCUAACAGAAUAUUUUAUUAAACUUCAAUUCAGGUCGUUACGAAAUAAUCUCGAUUCCGCUCGAAGUACUUUCAAGACGAAAACGAGCUGAAUUAUCGCCAUCAUUUUUAACUUUGAGCUGAACGCAUGCCGAUUGGAUUAAUUUCAAGCCGAUUAUGAACUGGCCCAGUUCGUUUGUGCUGAGCUAGUAAGGAUAAAACUUUAGCGGGGAGCUCCCUAGCAAUACCUCAUUGAAGAGCCCCCGAUCCGUCGCCACGUCUUAGUUACCCCUCCAUCAAAGAAUUCAUUGAAUACAAUUCAAAAGAAAAAUAAAGAAAAAAAUUAAUAAUUUUUGGAUACAUGCAAAACUGAUAUAUGGCAGUGAAUCGGAGGCUUUUCAACAAAACAUCAUUUAGCAGCUCUCAACUGAAGUAUAUAUAUAUAUAUAUUUUCCUCCUAAACACAAUCACCAGUUUUAUUAGGCCAAAAUAUAUGGGCACUCCCUAACUAUGAAUCUAUGCAAUUUUUAUGUGCACCAUUCAACUUUGAAACUUAUUUUUAAAAAAAAAAAUUAAACCAAAAAAACAAGAAAAUUUUCUUUUAUAAAAUAUUUCUGUAACUUUAUUUAACUUUUGCAAAAUCUUACUUAUAAUUAAAUAACAUUAUUAGUAACAGAAUCCAAAAAACUGGUGAUUGUCAUUCAAAACAUAAAAAAAAAAAAAAAAAAUUCAGGGCCCUUCUUUUCAUCUAUGACCCUUCAAAAUUUUAGAAUAAUAAAAUUUUCACUUAUCUUUUAUUUAUAUAAUAUUUUAUUAGUUUAUGAUAUAUAUAUAUAAACAGUCGUUUUUCGCAGCUUAGUGCGGAAUUUUCACUGGUUAGAAAUAUUCUCAAGUGUGUUUACUCAUCAAAAUUAGUGCAAAUUUAACAUAUCACUUCUAAAAUCUUAUUUUUUGGGUCCCAAUAAGCUAAAAUUUUAGUGAACUUAUCAUCAGGAAAAUAAUUUUUGUAAUUUCAACAAAUUUUUUAAGGCAAAAAAUAAUCAAAUAAAAGUAAUAGAUCAGACAAUAAGGAAUCAAAAAAAGCAUACUAUAAGCUAUAAAAUGAAAAGCUAUUUUCUAGAUUAAAAAUGAAAACUUAAUGGAAUAGUUUAGGGCUAAAUCAUAAUUUUAUUAACUUAAUUAGUAACUAACUCUCUUUUAAUCUGAAUAAGCUGGCAAAAAUUAACAGUAGAGCCGUUUGUGAUAAACUUAUAUAUUUAGAUCGAGGAAUAUACAUGAUAUUUUAAAUUUUGAAGGAACAUCUAUAAAAUUUUAAAACUUUACAGGAAAAUAUUUAAAAUUUGGCCCUUUGUAAAAUGACCCACAAUCAAUGGAACCACAUCAUUAAUAAAGGGAUAAUUUCAUAAGAUUCUCUGUAAAAGUACCAAAUAAUAAUAUAUAUCCGUACAAAACUUAAGUUAUCAAAUUUAUCCUCGAAAUGUCGUUCCGUCUGCAAAUAUAUAUUCUUCUGUUAAUAAAAUUUAGAUAACCAUAAGUUAAAAAAGCUAACCACAGUUAGUUAAGUGGUAAAAUAACCUUCUACUUCUCAUAUAUAUCAUUUGUAUUUUAAUGUUAAGUUUCGUCAUCUUUCUCAUCCUCUCCUCUUUACCCAUAGUGACGGCAAAACAUUCAGCGAAGGCAACGUCGAAGGCGAGACCCUUGAUCGCGAUAAAAAUGAGGUACACCGCACGUGCGGCGGCGAAGGCGAGGAAAGAGAGGAAAAGAAAGAUAGCUUUUUGCAGGAACAAAUUUGAAAGAGUAAAACAGUAAUUUUAUGUACUCACUAUUCAAAAACUAAUGGUGAAUCAAAUAGUAGGAACAUAUAUAAACAAAUUAAAUUUUUUUGGAGGAAUAUAUAGGCAAAUCAUAAAAUUUUUGAUGAAAUAAAUCUGAUAACUGAAGUUUCGUAGGGAUAUAUUUGCUAUUUAAUAUCUUUACAGGGACAUGGACGAAAUUUACCCUACAUUUAACCCUUUUAUUUUUAGUAAUGAAUUGACCUGGUUAAUUCUAGUCUUAUUGUUUGGUGGUCCUCUUAAUUAAAUUAAUUGUAAGGCCAGCUAAUAUUGUUGUACCAUCUAAUCACAUUUCUAAAUAAGUUUGAUUCUUCUGUUGGAGAGUCCCCAUCAGAGUAUGAUUGUAGAAACUGAAUGGUGACCAUCAUCUUCUGAUGAACGGCCGAUAUUGAUCGAUCGAUCGAUCGAUCGAUCACACACGUAUCUUAAAGGAAUUUUGCGACUUACUAAUUUUGCUUCUUUUUUUUUUUUUUUACAAUAAUCUCCCUAGAAUAGGAAAAAUUGAUGCUUGAACUUCUAAUGUUGAUGGGCCUAGCUAGAGUGACUCACUACCUCUCACCUCGACCUCUAAAAUCAAAUCAUGCUUUAAGAUAAGGGUUUGUUGGGUUCGCCUGUUCUAGAUUAUGGAAUCAGAAUGAAGCAUACUAAUUCAGUAACUAUUAUUUAUUUUACAGGAAUUAAAUUUUGAAUUUUAUUUUACUAUGAAAUGGAAAUAGUUCAAUUUAUGUAUAACUUAAUUUGGUUUUGAGUUUUGUAUUAGCCCAUUUCAGAAUAAGCCACUCAAAAUCUUUCUCAUAAACGCCUCUCCGUUCUCUCGCUUUAUCGCUCUCCUCUUCCUUAAUAAAAAGUCCUCUCGCUAUAUAUGGCCAAUUUGCAUAAAAAAUCUAUUGGUAGAGCUUUUGCAAAAAUAAGCCGUCUUCUUGAAUUUUACAGAUUUGGGCCGAAUUUUCAAAAAACUAACCAAAAUACCUUUAUUCCCUUAUCUCUCUCUCUCUCUCUCUCUCUCUCUCUCUCUCUCUCUCCGAAGAGGACGUCGGAGGUGGAGGCGGCCCGCCUCGCCUCUGUCCCAUGCACCCUUGCCCUCGCCUUCGCACCCUUCCUCUACCUUCCUUGCCUCUAAUCCCGCUGAGGCUGUGCCGCGACUCUUUUUUUUUUUUUCCUCUACUACCAUGCUCCACCGCCUCUCCAGUUCUUUACAAUAAUAAAGAGGGCAAUGUCACGUCAUCUUGCUCUCCUUUUUUUUUCUCGUUCUUUUUUUUUUCUCUUCGACCCACAAUCCAUCGUCUUUGCGACUGUCCAUAAUGGUAACGAGGAUAGUGCCGCAUCCUUUUUCUCCGCUGACGCCGGUGCUAGAGAAGGGAACUCGGAGAGAGUACGGGUGAGAGCGGAGCCAAGAAAAGAAGAUGCAGAAAAUAAAAAAUAAAAAGAAUAAAGAAUAAAACACAAAGAAAGAUAUUUUUUCUACAAAAAAAAUAAAAAAUCAGAGAGAAAAGAAAAAGAUGAUGAAGUUGUACUAUUUUAAGGAAACGUUGCACUGUUUCAAAAAAACGUUGCACUAUUUUAGAGAAAACUUACACUCUUUAGGAGAAAAUUUAUACUUUUUUGAACGAAAGUUAUACUCUUUAAACGAAAGUUGCACUUUUUAGACAAAACUUAUAUUAUUUCUCCUUUUCUUCCAAUUUCUUCUCCUUCAUCUUCAUUUUCAUGUGUUUCUUCUCCGCCUAUCUCUUCUUCGCCCUCCACCUCUGUCAGCAGAUCCUCCGCCCAUCUCUCUCUGACCAUCUUUUUUUUUUUUUCCUCUCCGGCGGUGGAGGAAGGUCGGAGAGAAAAAAAAAAAGAGGGUCACAGUACGGCCUCGGUGGGGUUGGAGGUGAGGAGGGUGGGGAGUGUGCGAGGAGGGCGGGGUGACACGGUCUUGGCAGGGUGGAGGCGAGGAGGGCAGGAGAGUGCGACCUUGGUGAGGGUGGAGGAUCUGCUGAUAGAGAUGGAGGGCGAAGAAAAGAUGGGCGGAGAAGAAACAGACAAAAACGAAGAGAAAGGAGAAGAAAGAGAAGGAAGAUGAGAAAUAAUGUAAUUUUUGCCGAAAGAGUGCAACUUUUGUCCAAAAAAAUAUAUUUUUUCUCUUAAGGAGUGUAAUUUUUUAUAUUUUAAUUAUUUGGAAGGGCAUAUUAUACAUCAUACCAUAUUGAUUGUCAAAAAAUACUAGGUACUUUCAAAUGCACCCUCUAAAAUUUUAAAAUAUUUGAUUCUUCUUCUUCUAAAUCUAAAAUAUCAUAUAUAAGUACAUCCUAAUUAUACAAAUUUAAAAUAAAUAUAAUUACUCUACCAGCAAUAAAAGUAAGUUAAACACUAGUUUACUCAAUAAAACAAUGAUUUUAUUUUCAAUUAAUUUUUUGUUGGGUAAUAUAUUAAUAUAUGCUAUUUUUUUUUACUUAUGAUACAUUUUUCCAUUUUAUAGCUUCUAGCAUGAUUAUUUUUAAUUAUUGAGGCUACGUUUGGUAUUAUGAUGGAAAUGAUUGUGAGGCUUUUUUUUUUUUUUGAGUAUUUCAUAGUAUAAAUAAAGUAGUACCGUUAGUAACCACAUUAUCAAACUAGGCUUUAAGUGUGUGACCUUUCAGUUUUAUUUAAUUAAUAUAUUGAAAAUUAUUAAAUUGAUAAAAAUUACUUUAGAUGAUAAGUUUGAAAGAUUAAAUAAAAUUCUAAAAAUUAUACAUCAAACUUACCUAAUUUUGAAGAGAUAUUGAUAAAAUUAUGGUAUACAAAAAGCAUGUUCAAGAAAUUAUUCCACAAAUAUUAUGCCUUUUGAAAAAUAUUAAGAAUAUUUUAAUUGGCGAGGAUUCGUUUGGUAUUGAGACUAUCUAAUACUAGUAAAUAAAACAGAGUUGAGACGAACUUUUAUAGAGAUAUAUUUCUCUAUAAUUUAGUGAGAUCAUGAAAAAUAUAUUAUAAUAAUCCGAGUGCGAUAUAUAGAAUGUGAUAUUGUAUGCGAAAAUAAAUAAAAUAUUUUUUAUCAUAUUCUCUAACCGCACAUAUCACAAUUUCCUUCCAAUCCCUAACGGAGGGCAUAGCUUGAUAAUGUGACAAUUAUUGUUCGAGAAGCAUAUCUCUAUAUUUUAGUAGGAUCAUGAAAAAUAUAUUAUAAUGAUCUGACUGCGAUAUAUGAAACGCGAUAUUAUAUAAAAAAAUAAAUAAAAUAUUUUUUAUUAUAUUUUCUGACCGCAUAUAUCACAAUCUCCUUCCAAUCCCUAACGGAGUCUAAGGCAUAGUUUGAUAAUGUGACAAUCACUCACUAUUGGAGGAGCACGCUGAUAAUGUGACAAUCACUCACUAUUGGAGAAGCACGCAAGCACUUGCUUCUCUUGUGGUGGUUGAUACUGUAAUUUUAUCACAUAAAAAGGUGAAAAUUUUAAAAAUACUCUAAUAUUUUUAAUUUUAAAAAAUUUUUAAAAGUAGAAAAAAAAAAUUUCUCCUAACCACCAUGCAUAUAUAUUACUCAUCGUUAUUCACAUAUAAGUUUUACAUUAUGUCCUAAAAUUGCACGCAUAUUAAGGCACGGGCCGACAUUAAAUAAUUUUAGAAAAAACUUCAAAUAUCCUUCUGUGGUUUAGUGCUUUUUUACUUUAGUAUCAUAUAGUUUAAAAUAUAUUACUUUAGUAGCAUAUAAUUUCGUUUUUUUCUUUUCGUUUUUCCCUCUAUCAACUCUCUGUUAAAAAAUAUAUAUAAAAAAAAUCUUCAAAUAUCCUAUGUGGUUUAUUGAAUAUUCACUUUAGUAUUCUGUGAUUUAUGAAAUUUUUUAGUUUAGUACAUCAUAGUUUUAACUUUCUCAUUUAUUUAACAAAAAAAUUAAAGGAGGAGAUAACAAAAAGAAAAAAAGAAACUACAUGGUUCUAAAGUGAUAUAAUUUAAAUCACAAGUUACAAAAGUGAUAAAACGCUAAACCACCGAUGUGGUAGGACUUUUUUACAAAAUAACCCUCUAAAUGCUUGUAAUUUGCAAAAUAAUCUUGUUAGAUUUAUAUUUGGCAAACUAACCCUCUAUUCGCCGUGUAGGAUUUUUUUUUCGAAACGCGAUGAAUCGUUCACAACAUUCUGAAAGACUCCUAGGACUUUUAAAGGCGAUUAAUCAUUCACCACAUUCAUUAAAAUGGUUAAUGAUUCACCAUCUUCGUAAUUGUUAGAAUUGGACGUAAAUUAUUUGAGAAAUAGAAAAAAACUAGCUUUUCACCCAUGCGAUGCACGGCUAAUAUAAUAAUAUAAAAUAAUAAAAAUUAUUACGUGAUGAUAAAAAAAAUAUUCUAAUUAAUAUUAUAUUUUUUUUAACAAAUAAAAAAAUAUACUAUCAAUCUUAAUUAUAGUACAUAUUAAAGUACACAAGCUAGAGAAAAAAAUUUUUGGACCAAAGUAAAUACUCAAGUAAAAUGCAAAAUUCAACCAUGCUCUAUUAUCUAUGAAUUGAUGUGCAAAAUAAUUUACAUUUACAUAUUGGUGUGCAAAACAAAAUAAUAACUAAAAUUGAUAUGAAAAAUUACAAAUGACAUUAAUAUUUAAGUUUAUAAUAGAUUAACUAAACUUUCAUAUUUGACACAAAUUAGAGUAGGCACACGUAUAUUAUUUCCCUACUGUCACAUUUAAGAUUCAAAAAUAUAUAGAUGUUGGUGUUCAAGAUAAUAUAAAAAAAAAAAAACUUUGUAUAAAGAUAGAAAGUUACAGGAGUGACAGUAGGUAAAUAAUGUGUUCUAUUUUAAAACAUUAACAUUUAAGAGCUAAGAAAAUUACAGGAAUGACGUGAGUUUUAAAUUUUUUCCUCUUUCCAAAAAUGUCUCUAUCCUUUUUUACUAAUAUUUUUAUGUUCAGAAAUUUUCAACCAAUCAUUUCAAAUAAUUAACUAAGUAAUAAUUUAUUCCCAAAUAAAGAUAAAUAUUUUUCUUUUCAUGCGUAAUAUUCGCACCCGCCAAUUCUUUCGCAACGUAAUAUCCGUAAAUUUCUCAAAUAUCUCAAUAUAAUUAUAUGUGACUUUGAAAUAAAAUUUCCUUCAGUGUAGAUAAUUUUUAAUAAUAUAGUAAAAGAUAUUAAUUUUUUAUAAAAGCGUGAGUUUUGAAUUUUUUUCUCUUUCUAAAAUUGUCUCUAUCCUUUUUUUACUAAUAUUUUUAUGUCCAUAAAUUUUCAACCAAUCAUUUCAAAUAAUUAACUAAGUAGUAAUUUAUUCCCAAAUAAAGAUAAAUAUUUUUAUUCUCACGCAUAAUAUCUGCACUGGCCAAUUCUUUCGCAACGUAAUAUCUGUGGAUUUCUCAAAUAUCCCAUCAACAUAAUUAUAGGUGACUUUGAAAUAAAACGCCUUUCAUUAUAGGUGAUUUUUAAUAAUAUAGUAAAACAUAUUAAUUUUUUGCCAUUAGAUUUUAUCUAAUGAUUGAAAAUAAAAAUAUCUGUUUCUUUUGUGACAAUAUUAUCCUCGUAUUUAUAUCCUAUUUUCUAUCUACGCGUUUCUCAAAUAUUUUUCUUCUUACGCGUAAUACCCGCCAAUUUUUCGCAACGUAAUAUCCGUGAAUUUCUCAAAUAUCUCAGUAAUCCACGUACCAUUUGAAUUUAAUAAUAUAGUAAAUAGAAUAAAUACGAUGACACGUGGAAAUCAUAUAGAAAGCCACAUUAGAAAAAAUCUAAUUUUGUUUUCCAUAAUGUAUUAUUUCCGUAAAAAAAAUCUAAUUUUAUUUUUCCUAAAGUAUUAUUUUUUAAAAAAAUCUAAUUUUAUUUUUCGUAAAGUAGAAAAUCUAUAUUUGAGCUUGACACGUAGAUUAUUUUUUCUAAAUUAGUAAUAUCCGCACCCGCCAAUUCUUUCGCAACUAAUAUCCGUGAAUUUUUCAAAUAUCUCAACAUAAUUAUAGGUGACUUUUAAUAAUAUAUAAAAGAUAUUAUUUUCUAAAAAAUUUUAAUUUAAUUUUUUCUAAAGUAGUAAUAUCCGCACCGGCCAAUUUUUUCUCAACGUAAUAUACGUGAAUAUUAUUUCCUUAAAAAAUUCUAAUUUUAUUUUUCUUAAAAUAGUAAUAUCUACACAACAUAAUUAUAGGUGACUUUAAAAUAUUUUCUAAAGUAGAAAAUCUAUAUUUGAACUUGACAUGUAGAUUUUUUACAUAGUACGUGAUAUUAGGUGACUUUGAAAUAAAAUCCCCUUCAUUCAUUAUAGGUGAUUUUUAAUAAUAUAUUAAAAGAUAUUAUUUUCUGAAAAAAAUUAAUUUUAUUUUUUCUAAAGUAGUAAUAUCCGUACCCGCUAAUUCUUUCUCAACGUAAUAUUCGUGAAUAUUAUUUUCUUAAAAAAUUCUAAUUUUAUUUUCCUAAAGUAGUAAUAUUCGCACAACAUAAUUAUAUGUGAUUUUGAAAUAUUCCCUAAAGUAGAAAAUUUAUAUUUGAACUUAACACGUAGAUUUUUUAUAUAGUAAAAGAUAUUAUUUACUUAAAAAGUUUAUUUUUAUUUUUUCUAAAGUAGAAAAUCUAUAUUUAAACUGACACGUGGCAUUGUAAAGCUGAAAAGUAAAGAUCAUAGGCUUCUUAAUCAAAUUCAUUAAUUUGAUUUAAUUAUAUUCCUCUAUAUUUAAUUAUAUUUAAUUAGUAUAAAAAUCUAUAAAAUUUCCUAAUAAUAUAUUAAUUUUAUUUCUUAUUUACUAUAAUAAUAAGUUGUAUUGGGAAAUAAUAAUUAAUUAUUAUUUCCUACAUAUUAUAAUAAUUCAGAAAAAUCUAUUUCUUAUUUACUAUAAUAAUUAGAAAAUAAUAAUUCUUUAUUAUUAUUAUAUUAUAGAAAAAUCUAUUAAGCGGCAAGAAUUUAAUAUUAUAAUAUAUUAAUUUUAUUUCCUAAUUUAUUAUAAUAUGGACUAUGGAAUAAUAAUAAAAAUAAAAGUUAUAGAUUUUUUCCUAAUUAAUAAUUAUUCCAUAUACUAAUUUCCUAAUUAAUAAUUAUUCCAUAUAGUAAUUUCCUAAUUAAUAAUUAUUCCAUAUACUAAUUUCCUAAAAAAUUAUUAUUAAUUAGGAAAUAAAAUUAGUAAAAUUAGGAAAUAAUAAUAUGGAAUAAUUANAAAGUAGAAAAUUUAUAUUUGAGCUUGACACGUAGAUUAUUUUUCCUAAAGUAGUAAUAUCCGCACCCGCCAAUUCUUUCGCAACGUAAUAUCCGUGAAUUUCUCAAAUAUCUCAACAUAGGUGACUUUUAAUAAUAUAGUAAAAGAUAUUAUUUUCUGAAAAAUUUUAAUUUAAUUUUUUCUAAAAUAGUAAUAUCUGCACCCGCCAAUUUUUUCUUAACGUAAUAUAUGUGAAUAUUAUUUCCUUAAAAAAUUCUAAUUUUAUUUUUCUUAAAAUAGUAAUAUCCACACAACAUAAUUAUAAGUGACUUUAAAAUAUUUUCUAAAGUAGAAAAUCUAUAUUUGAACUUGACAUGUAGAUUUUUUACAUAGUAAAUGAAAUAAAAUUAAUAUAUUAUAAUUAUGUUGUGUGGAUAUUGGAAUAAUUAUUAAUUAGUAAAAAUCUAUAACAUUUAUUUUAUUAUUAUUCCAUAUUCCAUUUCUAUAUAGAUUUUUCUAUAUAGAAUAAUAAUAAAGAAUUAUUAUUUCCUAAUUUUUAUAGUAAAUAGAAAAUAGAUUUUUUUAGGAAAUUUAUUUACUAUAAUAAUUCGAAAAAAUCUAUUUCCUAUAAUAUGGACUAUGGAAUAAUAAUAAAAAUAAAAGUUAUAGAUUUUUCCUAAUUAAUAAUUAUUCCAUAUACUAAUUUCCUAAUUUAUAUUUGAGGAUGACACGUGGCAAGCACAGAGGGUGCCAUUAGUUUUAUACUAAUUUCCAUAUGCUAAUUAUUCCGUAUACUAAUUUUCUAAUUAAUAAUUAUUUUCUAAUCUAUUUACUAUAUACUACAUUUGAAGAUGACACGUGGCAAGCCUAGAAGGUGCCACGUGUCAGUUUUAUACGAAGUGAUCACCCAGGGUUCUACUUUAGUAUAUAGUAAAUAGAUGAGGUUGUUAGAAUUAGACGUGAAUUAUUAUAAUUUUAAUUAUUUGAUUGUUAAAUUUGUAUUGAUAGAUUAUUAGAAUUUUCAGAUUGUUUUAAGAUUAUAUGUGAUUUGUCGAAAUUUUUAUGUAUUUGUUAGAAUUAUAUAUGAUAUAUAGAAAGAAAGGGUAAAUAAACAAAAGACGAUGAAUGAUUUAUAGAUUUGAUGGAAAAUUAAAAAUGUAGUAAAUCGUUAACCGUCUUUAUAAAAGAAAUGAAUUGUUCAUCGUUUUUAAGAAAAGAAUUUAACGUGACAAAAAAAAAAAAAUUAUAAAGAAAUUUAUAAAAUUAUUUAUUUAAUUGAAAAUUUUAAUAAGGUGAAAAAAAGCAGUCCACGUAAGCCCGCAAAAUUCUUCUCAGGUGAGUAGUGGGUGUGCCGUGUUCGUCGUUCGUUUGCCCUGCGUGUCGGUUCCACCGUCCCUUUCGGAUCAGACGGCCGACAACGGAGCCGACGAUGGCGCACAAAAAUCGCCACGUGGACAGCUCGCUCGGAGUCGAUCGGGACCGUCGGUGGCAUACUAGUAAUCAGCCCGCACAUUCCGACAAGAAUUAUAUUUUAGCUUUAUGAAUUAUUAUUAUUUUAAAUUUAGUAUAUUUGUUUUAUAAUAUAUAUAUAUAUAUAUAUAUAUAUAUAUAUAUAUAUAUAUACUUAUAAUGAUAUUAAAAUUUUAUAUUUUGAAAUUUAGUUCUGCCGACAGAUCCAAUUUUUAGCAAAAAUAAAAAAAUCCUCUCCCCCUAAAUAGCAAAAAAAAAGAAAAAAAAAAAGAAGGUCUACAGCAAGUCUUUUCUAAAACUUUGAUUAUAUAUAAUAAUUAAAAUUUUCAAAGAAAUUUGCCAGAUUCGUCCAAUUGAAAGAUUUCCGAUGGCGUCUUACCGACAAGCUUCCGAUUCACUUUUUUUUAAUCCAUCAAUUUAGAGUUUAAAAAUUAUUUUUAAAUUUUAAUAUUUUAAAAAAUUUCUAACGAAUAUUGAAUAGAGGCAAAACUGACAACGAGACGUGAUUUGGGAAUGUUUUGUCCCUCCUACACCUUAAUUAAUUUUUUUUUAAAAAAUGCACAUUUCUCUGUCCUAAUUAACUAAACACUCCAAACCUACCUCUUUCAACUAAUUAGUUAGAUUUAAUUUCCACACCCACCUCUUUCAUCUUAAUUAAUCAAAUUUUCCAAACCCUUCUUAAUUAUCAUAUUAAUUAAAAUUUCCCAAAACUAUCUCUUCCAUCUAAUUAGCUAAACUCUAUUUCACCUAAUAAACUAAAAUCUAAAACCCACGAUCAUUUCUCUCUCUCACUUAAGAUAAUGGAUAAAAAAUUUAUGAGCAGAUUCUCUGUGGUGAUACGUUACAUCCAUCCAUCGUUCAUUAUACUUUGAGGCUUCGUUUGGUUCACGAAUUAGUAGAAACUGCUUAUAUCGGUGAUAGAUACAAGCAUAGAUUUUUGUAAGAACAAGAAUAAUUUUUUGUUUGGAUGAAAAUGUGAGUAUGAAUUGGAACUAGAAAAAUUGUGUUUGGAUGGUUAUUGAAAAUAAGAGAAAUAGUUGAUGGUUAUAGAUAAAAAAUAAUGAUAUUACCCCUCUCAUUAUAUUUGAAUUUUAAAUUUUAAAUUUUAAAUUUUAACUUUUAAAAAUUAAAAAUUAAAAAUUAAAAAUUAAAAAUUAAAAAUUUAAUUUUCAAUAUCAAAUUUUAAAUUUAAACCAAAUUUAAAUUUAAAAGAUAUAAAAUAUCAAAUUUAAAAUUAAAAAAUUAAAAAUAUCAAAUUUAAAAUUUAAAUUUUAAAAUUUAAAAUUAUAAAUUUUAAUUUUUAGAUUAUAAAUUUUAAAUUUUAAAAAUUUAAAUUUAAUUUUAAAACAAAAAAUUCUCUCUCUCUCCUCAUCAUCUCUCUAGGGGGGUGUACGUGGAACAUCGAAGUUGUUCACACCCAAUGAAUCUUAAUUUGGGUUAAAAGUGGGAUAACCCCUUACCCCUCCUUGUAUCCCAAUCCAAACGCUCCUGAACAUUUUUAUAUAUAUAUAUCAGGUGAUUGAACAACCAAAUAAGACCGUCUAAUUUGUAGACCUCUCCUCAUGCACUUGGCAAAAUAAACUUGACGUCUGAACAUAAUGGAUGGCUUCUUCUAAUCCUUGGAUAUUCCAAACAAAAAUCGACCCCAUUUGGCAGUUAAUAUGAAUGUUUACUUUGACUUAAAUUUAAUGCAGGAUUAUUUUCAUGCAGACUCGAAUUUAUAAUCACUUUUUUUUUUUUUUUUGAAGAAAGGUAGGCAUGCUACCGCCCCGUUCGCCUUAUUUAUUAAAGAAAUAAACUUAUGCUGAAAAACGAAAUGGAAUCAACUAGGAUCGAACUUUGGUCUCGGUACCAAUCAUCAAGCCCUUAUUUGCACAUCUUGCGCUAAGGGACUGUCGGUGAAUUAUACAAUCAACUUUUGCUUUCAAUUUAAUUUAUUGUCUAUGUAUGUAAUUUGCAAGAUAUCGGAUCUGUUAAAAAAAUGUGAAUUCCAAAGGACGGUUUAAAUUUCAAAUCUCUAUUUUUGAUUUUCAUUUCAAUGAACAUACUCGGAGUCAUUCUAAAUUAUUUGGAUUCAAAGAUAAAUCUCUUUCUAAACUAUAAAUGUUUUUUUUAUUUUUUACACAUUUGUAUUGGCGCGCAUGUAUGUGUAUUUUCUUUAUUGUUUUCAGCAUUGCGCAUGUAAUUGGCUUCCAAAGCAGUUUCUAUUUGAUAUGAUUUUCAUUUCUCUUUUUCAAAUCAGUGAAAAUCAUCGAUCAUUAAUGAUCAACAUAUUUUAUGACUAUCAUUCGAAGAUUCUAGAUAAAAAAAAAUAUUUAUUAUUUUUUUUUUUUGAGAGAAAGAUAGCAUGCUACCCGCUUCGUUUAUUUCAUUUAGAAAUAAACUUGGCUAAAAAUGUUAAUCAACUAGGAUUCGAACUUAAGUCUCGGGUAUCAACCACCAAAUCCUUUUACCACUUGCGCUAGGGACGGUCGGUUUAAAAAAAAAAAAAAAAUUAAAAAAAAUAUUUAUAGUUAUGGCUAGUAUUUAUAGUUAAAAAAAUAAUAUAGUUAUGGCUAGUAUUUUUUGGUUUAUUUCAUUUUUUUAUUGUUGUGAUGAGAAAUUUUAUCGUUAAUUAUAAUUAGACUAAUAUAAAAUAAAUUUAAAAAUAAAUUUAAAUUAAAUUUUCAUAAUGUCACAUGGCAGUUUAUGCAUCCAUAAAACUAGGCUUUUAUACUUUCGAAAGUACGAAAACCUACGUGCUUAUAAAUUAUUUUCAAUGAUGGGAUAUCCAAUUCGAUGAUUGGUUUUAUUAGGUAUGAUCUACGCUAUUAGAACUAUUUAGAAAUCAAAUUUUAUAAUUUUUUGACUUUAUUUACCUAGUAAACGAAUAGUUUCAAAAUGAAUGAUUGAAAAUAAAAAUCGCACAAAAAACGAUCUUGACGUUAAGUAGAAUUUUCUAGGAUGUCACAGACUCCUUCAGUUUAGGGGGUUUAGGCCGUGACGUCCUCGUCAACACUGGCUUAGUCUGUCAUUCCGACCUUGGCUCAGCUAAAACUUAUCUCACACUUUCGACUAGUAAACCGGCUUUGAUACCAAAUGUAACGACUCAACCUACUAACAAUAAUAAUUUAUUGGGCCCAAACCACCAACACAAAAUGCUCAAACUCAGUUAUUAUUAUUAGGAUGGAGUUCUCUUCUAUACCCAAUGACAAUUGCAUUUCUAUCCGAUGUGGGACUAUUAGGGUGUCACACUCUGAUAUUUUUGUAAAGGGAAAACUUCAAAAACCCCCUCUGUGGUUUCAUAGUUUCUCACUUUGCCCCCCUGUGGUUUAAAAUGUAUCAAAUUGCCCCCAUGUGGUUUUGUUUUUAUCUUUUCGAUAGCUUUUUCGUUAAUAUUUCAUUAAAUUAUAUACAAAAAACUUUAGAUACCCAUCUAGAUUUAUCAAAUAUUCACUUUAGUACCCUUUAAUUUUAACUUUAUCACUGAUUUAAGGAAAAAAAAAUAAUGAAAUUGAUAUGAAAAAGAGAAAAAAGAAACCACGGGGGGGCAAAUUGAUACAUUUUAAACCACAGGGGGGCAAAGUGAGAAACUACGAAACCAUAGAUAGGGUUUUUGAAGUUUUCCCUUUUGUAAAUAAUGUCGAAAAAUUAUGAAAUUUGGUUUCUAAAUAGUUCUAAUAGUGUAUAUCAUACAUAACGGAGUCGAUCGUCGAAUCAGAAGUCCUAUCAUCAAAAAAGGAUAAUUUCCUAUAUAUCCUUCAAAACAUCGAAAAUAUCUUAUUUACCUCUACUUUUUUUUUUUUUCUUUCCAAUAUACCUUUCAUAUGUUACUCUGUUAUUCCAAAAUACCCUUAGGGUGCGUUUGGUUCGAGUUAUCCUGGCAGGAUUACAGGCAAUCCUGCCAAGAUAACUGUGUUUGGUUAAUCUGCUAUGUAAUCUAGUCGUUAAUGUAGCAUUACAAAUCGAGCAGGAUUACAUUAAAAAUAUUAACGGGAGGGGGGUCAUGUAUCUUGCAUUACUGAAACCCGUUAAUACUACAUAUUAUGUAAAAUGACAAUUUUACCCUCCAACAACCCCAAAUCUAAUUAACAGCAUUAUUUUCAUCACUCUCGCCUUCCCCCUUCUCUCUCGCACGCCGCUUUCUCUCGCUCUCUCUCUCUCUCUCUCGCACGUCUCUCUCUCUCUCUCUCUCUUUCUCUCUCUCUAUCUCUCGCUCUCUCUCUCUCUCUCUCGCACGUCUCUCUCUCUCUCUCUCUCUUUCUCUCUCUCUAUCUCUAUCUCUUUCUUUAUCUCUCGCACGAACACCUAUCAUCUUCUAUUGCGUCGUCCUCCCAAGCAAUCAUCACGAUCUCCUUCCCUCCAUUCGUCAUUUUCGAAAAAAAAAAUUCAAAUGACCACAACAAGGGCAAUUUUGGAAAAAAAUUAUACUUUUAUAUUAGGAUUGCUAAAUUUUAUAAACUGAACCAAACGUAUUAAUGGUAUAAACACUGUAAUCUAGUAUUACAUUACUACAUUAAACCAAACGCGCUAAUGCAGCAUCAGUAGUAAUCUCACGCCGAAAUCCAAGAUACCUGGAUAUGUCGAGAUACUUUGUAAUAUUAGAUAACUCGAACCAAACGGGCCUUAGGGUGCGUUUAGUUCGCAUUAUGAAAGAUUACUAGAAAUAAAAGAUAUCCAAGAAUCUUAUUCAUAUUCAUCAUAUUACUAAGAAUGUGGAAUUCCUGUGUUUGGUUCGCACGGUAAUAUUAAUUAGCCAUGUUAUUUAAUAUUACAAAAAAUAUACAAUUAAUUAAUUAAUUAAUUUAUUUAAUUUAAAUAAUGUUACCAAAAGUUUCAACAUCUUUUUAGAAAAAAGGAAGAGAGAGUAUAAGUUAGAGAGAGAGAGCAUAAUUAAAAAAAUAGAAAGAAAAAUAUAGUCGAAAUUAGAGGGAUAGAGAGUUGAAAUUUAGAAAGAGAGAGAGAGAAAGCUUAGUUUAGAGAGAGAAAAAAAAGUUGAAUUUUAGAGAGAGAAAUAAGUUUAGAGAGAGAUAUAAGGUUAGAGUGUAAAGAAAAAUAAUAUCAAUUAGUCGGCGGGUAAGAAGAAAGAAAGAGAUUAGACAUAUUAUGAUUACCCCAAUCCAUUAAUAUGAGGAUACCCACUCUCCCUCGAGGGAAUGAGAUUAGUACUUUGAGGUGAAUCUUAUUUCUAAGUGAAUCCAAUAUUACCAACUAGAUUACUUGGUGCAUUUAGCCAAACACCGUCAUAUUUUUUUAUUCAUACUGGAUUACUAGGAAUCUUUAAAUGAUAGCGCGAACCAAACGCACCCUUACAGUUAUCAUCCGUUAAGUUAACUUGAGUUAAACAUGAGUUAAAUAUCUAUCUGAGUUAAAAACUCUAAAUACCUUUUUUGGAAAUGUGGGUGAUGAUAGAAAGUAUAUUUGAACAGACCAAAAAUUUAAAUACUUUUCGUGCCCCUAACUUAAGGACAAAUAAGAAAAGUCGGUAAUGGUAGAAAGGUAUAUUUGAAAGAAAAAAAAAAAUUCAUAGAGAUAACAGUUAUUACUAUCAGUUUAUUAACAAAAUUUAACUCUAUGGGUAUAUUUGAAAUAUGUUGGAACGUAAAUGAAAUAUUUUUAAUAUUAGCCUUCCAAGAGAGAUAAAUUAGAAAAUCGAGAACUUUUAGGAAUAUAUAAGCAAUUGCCCUCAUGAAAAAUAGUUUACAAGCACGUAGGCUUUCAUACUUUCGAAAGUGUAGGAGACGUGCUCUACAUCCUUAUAUAUAUAUAUAUAUAUAUAUAUAUAUAUAUAUAUAUAUAUAUAUAUAUGUUGGAAUACUAUUAAUAGCACUAAUGACUUGGUGCUAUUAACUUUUCUACCUUUAGAUUAAAAGAUGUGUGGUUAGGAUGAUGAUGUGAUCCCAUUAGGGUUGAGUGGGUAGUUGGUUGAAUAGUAUAAUCGAACUGAUAAAAAUGAUAAAAGAGGUAAAUCUAACGGUAGAAAAUUUGAUAGCACCAAAUGCUUCGUGCUAUCGAUAGAAUUCCAGCCGGACUCAUAUAUAUAUAUAGUGCUAGGCUCCUAUGUUUUCGAAAGUACGGGAGCCUCUGUACUUGUAAGUUGUUUUCAAUAAUGGGGCAUCCGAUUCGGCGAUCGGUUUCGUUAGAUAUGAUCUACGCUGUUGGAACUACCUAGAAACCAAAUUUCAUAAUUUUUUAAUUUCGUUUGUCUAGUAAAUGAGUAGCCUCAAAAUGAACGGCUGAAAAUAAAAAUCUCAUAAAAAAACAGUGAUAAAGGACUCAAAUUUCAAAUCGAAAGUAUUGGUCUUACUAUUGAUGUUAAGUAGAAUUUUCUAUUAAAUUUUCAUCUAAUUUGGAUACUUCUACACCGUUGAACUUAAAAACGUGCCACAUCGGCCAUUAAAAUAGUCAUUUUUGAGACCUUUUGAUCGCUUGUUAAAUGGUGUCAAAAAAUUAUAAAAUUUGGUUUCUAAAUAGUUCCAAUAGAGUAGAUUAUACUUAACGGAGCCGAUCGUCGAAUCAGAUUUCCUAUCAUCGAAAACAACUUACAAGCACGGAGAUCUCCGUACUUUCGAAAGUACAGAAGACUUACUCUAUAUAUAUAUANUAAAUAGAUCAUAAAUAUUUCUCUCAUCGAAGGAGGACAAAAGAUCUAGAUAAUUACAUACUAGAUCAUAAAAAAAAUAAAUAAAAACGAAAAACAAACCGAUUGUUACUAGCACAUGUGACAAAAAAUUUUAAUAGUUGGUAUCGGAAACUUUAAAUUGCUAGUUGAUUUAUAUUUUUAAUUAAUUUAUUUUUAAAAAAUUAAACGAAACUGAAAUUCAGUUCAAAUCUGUAAAAUCGAAAAAAAUGACCCACUUUUGUAAAAUCGCAAAACUAGUAAAUUUUUUAUGCAAAUUUGCCUUCUAUCUUUCUUAAAAUAAUUAAAAAAAUAAACAAAAAUGUGUCCGGCCAUACGGCCGGGACAGAGAGAGAACCAAGAAGGAUAAAAAGAGGGGGUGUAGAGAGAGACAGAUAAAGAGUUUUUUAAAAAUAUAUUAAUUUUUAGAAGGAUAAAUUUUAAUUUAACGUAGUGCGCCACUUUCUCAACUUGAUUUGAAAAAUUAUUCUUGAAUAUUCUACAAUUUUAUUCUUAUUUCAUCCUAUAAAGAAAUAAAGAAAUAAUUUUUUUAAAUAAAAAAAAAUUACAUAACAAUAAAAAUUAAGAUUAAACAUAAAAUACCAUAUUUUUUGGUAUCAAGUAUCAACAACUAAUCAUGUGAAAAAAUAUAACCAUUCAUUAAUUUUAAUUUUCCAAUAACUUUCACGUUUUCAUUAUUAAUUUGUAAUAUUAAAUUAAUUAUCAUAACAUUACAAUCUACGCUAAGUAAUUAGAAUUUUAUAAUAAUUAUCUCACUUUUAUUAUUAAUUUCUAAUAUUGUCUAUUAAUUCUAAUAUUAUCGAUCGACUCUGCUAUCAUAGUUAAUAAAGGGGCGUUUUAUUUUUAAUAUAAAAAAUUGUUUUUUUAUUUGUUUUAAUUUUACAUAAAAAUAUUUUUUCGAAAAAUUUUUUAACCGAUUUAAAAAGAAUUAAAUUUUCACUUUUUCACUGUUUUACAGCAUAAAAUGAAAAAAAAUUGAACUCUCUAAAAUUUUUUUCAUUCAUUUUUUGUUUUUUGACCGAAACAACUUUUUUUUCUGUAAACCACAUACUACAAAUCGUUGAAAAAAAAAGUCACCAAAAUUUUAUGUUACAAAAAAAAAAAAAAUUUCGCGAUUUUACGUAGAACCAAACAGAGCGGAACCAAACGGAACAUAGACGUAAUAUUUUAAACGACAUAUAUAAUAGCAAAAGUAAAAAAGAAAAAAUAUGCUAAAUCACGCCAUUUACCCAUUUCAACAUUCGAUCACAAGAACACGAGAACACGAGAAACACAUGGUAUGGUAUAUAUUUGUAACUACCUCUCUGUGAUCUCUGAUCUCUCUGAUCUCUUUAUGUAUCAAAGAAAACCCAUGGAUCGACACGAACCCAUGCACCUAAUUGUCUUUGAUAUAUAUAUUCCUGUACUAGCUAGACUGGCCUGAAGGAGGUGAGCUUGCGGAAUCCCUGCCAGGCCUUCUCCCACACCACCGCCUCGUAGCACUCGCUGCCGGCGGCAUCCGCCUCUGCCUGGAGGACGAGGCGGUAGUUGAUGCCGGCGACGACCUGCGUCUCGCCGCGCAGCACCCGGACGAAGGCCAGCCCCGCCCCCGUCUCCCGGUCGUGCUCCGCCACCGCGUACUCCCCGAUCUCCCGCACGUGCGCCUCCCCCACGUCCUCGAUGCGCCGCCACCCCCCCGCCACCGCCCCGCCCCGCGCUUCCCCUUCCACAAGAAGAAGAAGCAGCAGCAGGAGCAGCAGCAGAGGGAGGGCGCGGAGACGAACAGAUCUCAUCGCUCUUUCUUUUUCUUUUUCUUUUUCUUUUUUCCUUCCUUGUGUUUUUUGGGGGAGAGAGAGGAGAGAGGAGAGGAGAGAGUUUUUUAAUUUUUAGGGUUUGAAUUUGGGGGUCCUGAUCCCCUUUAAAUAGAUGGAUAGGAAUCAGGGAGGAUUGAGACGGGCGAGUGCGGAGUGAGUUAGUGCGUGCACCCGGUGUACAAGAUAAUUUUUGAGGGAAAACUUUAAAUACCACUACUGUGGUUUUAUACUUUUUUUUAUUUUACUGUCUUACAAUUUAAAGUAUAUUAAUUUAGUAUCCUGUGGUUUUAUUUUUCUCUUUUCACUAUCCUCUCCACUAAUUUUUUUUAUUAAAUCAGUGAUAAAGUUAAAACUAAAAAGUACUAAAGUAAAUAUUCGAUAAACUUACAUGAGGUAUCUUAAGUUUUUUGUAUAUAAUAAUUUAACAAAAUGUUAAUAAAGCAGCCGACAAAAAGAGAAAAAUAAAAUUAUAGGGUACUAAAUUGAUACACUUUAACUCACAUGCUACUAAAGUGAGAAAGUGCGAAAUCACAGGGGUGGUUGAAGUUUAUCCUAAUUUUUACUAUAGAGAUCUUAAACUCAGAUAAAUAAAUUAGAUGUGUUUUGUAAUAAUUAAAAGAAUUGGAUAGCGAAACACAAAUAAUUUAGAAUCCUUUCAGGUCAGCAAAUUUUAUAAUAUAACUUAGCUAACUAAAUGAUGGCACAUCGGUUAUGUAACGUUGAUCCGAUAAUAUUAAAAUUGAUGAUUUAUCAUUUGGCCAAUUUAUUUGUAUUAUGAGAUUUGAGUUUUAUUAGUGCGAAAAAUUUAAGUCGAAUUAUAAUAUUUUAAAGAUUGUGAAUCAAAACAUCACACUGUUCUUGUAAUUGGGGAAUAUAUAAAAAUAUAGUUUAACUUCUAAAAUGUUAACUACUACAAACUAUUAGAUCUGGUGUAUGAUGGGUAUGUAAACACAGGGUGUUGGCAAUAACUGCUGCGCGUGGGUUUCGUUGCGGUUUUGGGGCGCUGUGGGAACAAAAACAAUGACACGUGUAGAGAGAUAAAAUGUGAGAGAGAGAGAGAGAGAGAGAGAGAGUGCGAGGGGCGUGACAUGCAGUGGACGCGGAAUAUUCGAGAAGCAGAUUUCUGCGCGCUGUCGACGAGAUAGUCUUUUCAGUCGGACUGCUCCGACUAUAGUCAGAUAAUUCGCAAAUUAUUCAUAAAUUAUUAAAAAUUUAAAUAAAAAAAAUUAAUUUAUUUUUAAAAAAUAAAAUAAUAUGUAGAUUUUUAGACUAAAUUUAUUAUUUGCGCGUAAUUCGCGUAUGCUGAACUAUAUACCCAAAAAAAUAGGUAAAUUUUUUUAGAUAAAAUUCUUUUCUAAAUUUUGCUGAAUUAUUCUCGAAUUAUUGAAAAAUUUUAUAAAUUUUCGAAAUAUGUGGAUUAUGAAAAAUAUGAAGAUAGAGACGAUAAUAAAAUUUACUAUUUCUUUUUUUAACUUAAUCUAUUUUAUUUUAUAGCUUUUUUUUUAUAUUUUUAAAAAUUUAUAACUAUAUACGCUAGUAGCAUAAAUUUAGAGAAUUGUUUAAUAGCUGAACUUUUGAUCCCGAAUUGUUAUUUGGUGAAUAUAUAAUAUCCGUAUAAAUCGCGUAUUCGAACAAUUGAUGAAUACGUUUUUUAAACCGUAUUUUUCAACAAAUUUAAAAAUUAAGAUACGAAUUUUAUUUGAAUUAUACCUUUACCAAACUUUUACCAAAUCCAAGUUAAUUAACUAUAAAGAGACGAAGGGAUUUUAUUUUUUAUUUAUUUUUGGAUAAAAAUAUAAUAAUUCAAAAAUCGGCUCGGACAGAAAAAAAAAAAAUUUGAGUCAAGAAUUUAUAAUAAAAUUUCACUACUUCGUUAAGACCUUUUAUGGCUAUACAAUUUAGAUUGAAUAGUAAUUAUUUAAAUAUUUUUUAAAAAAAGUACAAUUUGGACCUUUCCUACUGCUUAAAAGCCUACAAUGAUUCAACCAACUUCAUUAACACAUUCUAUAACCACCUAAUUUUAAAUUGAAUCAUGUAAUAAUUUAAAUAAUUUUUAUAUGGAGAUUUACCUUUUGAAAUAAUAAUAAACCUUACACAAAAGGGGGCUCUUACUAUAAUUUAAAUCCCGGUUACACAAAAAGCUUGCAACAGCUUUAAUCUGCAGUUUAAACUACCCGAACAGAUGAAUAAUUAAUUCAGUACAUAACUUCACUAAAACAAAUUGGCAUAUCACAUAGAUUUUAGUUGUAAAUAUCUUACUAAUAUUGCCAUUGCAAAACUAUAUCAAAACCAAGAUAUAAGAGAUUUUAGUUCUAACCCAAUAGAUGAAUAAUUAAUUCAGUACAUAACUUUACUUAAAACAAAUUGGCAUGUCACAUAGAUUUUAGUUCUAAAUACCGUACUAAUAUUGCCACUGCAAAAAUAUAUCAAAACCAAGAUAUAAGAGAUUUUAGUUCUAACCCAAUAGAUGAAUAAUUAAUUCAGUAACAUCACUAAAACAAAUUGGCAUAUCACAUAGAUUUUAGUUCUAAAUACCUUACUAAUAUUGCCACUGCAAAUAUAUAUCAAAACCAAGAUAUAAGAGAUUUUAGUUCUAAUCCUUAUAUAAUUCAGUACAUAACUUCACUCAAACAAAUUGGCAUAUCACAUAGAUUUUAGUUCUAAAUACCUUAGUAAUAUUGCCACUGCAAAAAUAUAUCAAAACCAAGAUAUAAGAGAUGUCCUUUACUAAUGGCGUCCAAAAAUAGACACUUUCCUAAACAACUUACUUAGACCUCAUUUGAUAUUGUUGUCAUUAUUAUUACUAUUUUUUAACACUAUAUCUAUAUAGUUUUAUGUGUUAAAGGAGAAUUUUUUUUUUUUUUACUAUCAUAAUUGAUUAGCUUAUAAUGCAUCUAGCAAAAUAGUAGAUAACAAAUUAUCUAAAACAAAUUUAAAAAGUACAAAAACUUCAUUUCUAAUUUUCAUUUUCUGUUACCAAGUAAAUACUUAAUGAAGUAAUUACAAGUAAUUUAUUGUUCACUGCUACAUCUUUUAUUAUACAAAAUUCUAUUUAAAAAAAAAUAGAAAACAAACAUGAUAUCAAACAAGACCUUCAUUUACUUUAUUAUUUUGUUAAACUACAUAAAUCUAACAUCACCCAAUAACUCAAUGAAAAUUUUGCAUCCAAAUUCACAUACCAUCCCAAAUAUUUUGACCUAUAUGAAACAGCUUAAAAAUUGCAAAUACAUCCAAUCUCAGUAGUCACAACUAGCAAAAUAAAUAUAUCACAAACACAAUGAAAAAACCUUCUUAAAUAUCCAACUUGCCAAAUUAUAUAUUAUAUCCACUCAAAAAGUUACAAUUAGCAAUUUGAUAAUCUCAAAUACUACUCAAAAUGAGCGGACUUCCUGUGUAAAAUUAUUUGAGAGAAUUACUAUCAACAAAUCUCACUACCUCACUUCCCCAUCUGCUAUGGAUGAGACCUUGCAGACUCCGGCCGAGGUGGUGAAGGGCACAUCCUUGUAAGAGGCAACCAAGUCAGCGUUUGUACGGAGAUCAGCUUGAACCUUCUCCCAUACUUUGCUCUUCGCAUUUAACACGCUAUCCGGUUCGCCCGAAUAUCCAGGAAAGGUUACGCGCUCCCCUACUACAGCCGACGCCGGCGGUUCGACCAACUCCACCUGAGUUGAAGAUUUUUUAGACAUUCUGUACUAUUAUACAGAGGCAAAGAUGUAUGGAUUAUUUUGAAAACGGACCCCCCAACGCUUUUUUCCGUUUUCUCCUUUUGACCAACAAAUGCUUAACUUUGGGCACUUUAAUUUACUUAUAACCAAAUAGUGAAUUCUAUUGAAGUUAAUGGCACCACGCCCUUUCUAGCUGACCAAGUUGGGAACGGUAGAGCCAUCAACUUUAAGCGAAUUUCCAUUUCAGACGACAGGAAAACUGAAAAUUCAUACCGAGAAAGGGAAAAAUAAUGAUAUGCCAGACAUCCUGAAAUUGUAAUCAAUUGUAGAUCAUCAUGUCAAAAGUUUAAAACGAACUGCAUAAACUUUAUAAUUGUUUCAAUCAGCUUCCUAGCCCCCCCAUUGGGUUAAUUUUACCUAACAAUCUUAAAUAAUAUGAAGGCCAAAUCACUCAAAUACUCCUAACAUUAUACAGGCAUUCAGCAGAAGUCAUUGGGCUUUGAUGCGAUUAAAGAUUGCUAAACAAAAUUAAUAGAAUUUUAGGACAGUUGGUUGGUUGAGACAGUUACAAAGUUCAAGUAAUUUAUUUUAACUUCUUAAAGUUCAGACGAUGAUCUGCAAACAGAGCUAUUGUUCAGACGGUCCAGCAUAUUCUCCCUUCUUACAUCCUAUAGCAGUAAGAACCCCAUAUGGAGUCCAAUAACACAAUGUGUGAUAUCAAAAGAUUCAAAACUAACAGAGAGAUCAAUAUGAUCUAGAUGACGUCUUGCGGUGACAAAUUUCAAUGCUACAGAAUACCAGAAAUACCAGGUAGUUGAAUCACAGCAAAGCUCUAGUGUAAAGUUAAAAUGGAAAAAAGGUUCAUAUGUCAGAAAAAGACAAAAAGCAUAAAAGCUUACUUUGGUAUGGUCAUCAUUUGAUGCAGCUAAAACCAUCGCAUGUGAUUUAAUACCACGCAUAGCCACUGGCUUCAGAUUACAGAGAACACAAACUUUCCGAUUCUGCAAAUUGAGAAAUGGCAAUAAUUAUACAAGAUGAGGGUAAAAAAAAACUAAAAAUGGAGAAAUAAUAUCUCCAUCUAAAAACAUUUUUGCAAGAGAAAAAAAAAAUAAAAAAUCUGCCUCUCUAUUAUUUGCGAAAGGAGGACACUUUUUUUAGCUUUUUACAACUUCAGACUAGAGAUGUCAACGGGUUGGAUUCGGGGCGGAUUUUUAAAAACCCGAACCCGAACCCGAACCCGAACCCAGUGUUUGAAAAGGCGCGAGGCGCAAAAAGGCGCAAGACUCUCCUGGAGCCUAGGCGCGAGGCGUACUGCGAGGCGCGCGCCUCAAAAAGGCGAGGCGCACAGUAAUUUAAUUUGAUAUUCUACAUUAAAAAAACUCCAAAAUAACUAUACAAAACUAAAAUAACCAUAAAAAAGUAAAGAAAACACUUGCAUAUAGGUUCUCAAGUAAAAAAAAAAAUAUUUCGACCUUUAACUUAAAAGUGAUUGUGGUGCCAAUGUUUUCAUUUAGCCUCAAGAAGGAGAAGAGGGCGGUAAAAGGAGAGAGUGGUAAGAGGAGAGGGCGGUAGAUGGAUUUCAUUAGGGUUUUUUUAGGUUUCUUUUAGAUUCUUUUACUAAUCUUAUCGGACUAAAACAUAAAAUUUAUAUCCGAAAUCCAAUAACCCGAAAACUUUAAUCAAAAAUCCAAAAAAUAUUAAAUAUGCCGAGACGCGCGCCUCAGGGCCUAGGCGCGCGCCUCAGCAAUAGGGCCUCGCCUCGCUAUUGCUGAGGUGCGGAGGCCCGCGCCUCGCGCCUAGGCGCUGAGGCGCGCGCCUGCGCGCCUCAAGCGCGCCUUUUCAAACACUACCCAAACCAGACUCCAAACCCGAGACCCGAAUCCAAACCCGAACCCAACGGAUUUUAAAAAUCCAUAUCCAAACCCGAACCCGACCAAAAAUCCGAAACCCGAAUCCGAAUCCGAACCCAAAAAUUUGAACCCGAAACAAUUAUUUUUUUUUCAAUAUUUCAAAAUAUAUUAUAUUAAAUCUAAAUUUUUAAAAUACAAAUUCAAAUAUAACAUUAAAUUUUUAUAUAUAUAUUAUAUAUAAUACAAAAUAAAUUCGGAUUCGGGUCGGGUUCGGGUUCGGGUCGGGUACAAUCAAAAUCCAUAUUCGAAUCCAUAUCCGUCGGAUUUUUAUUUUUGAUAUUCAUAUCCGAAUCCAUAUCCAUAUCCAUCGGAUAUAUCCAUUUCAUUCGGGUUCGGGUUCGGAUAAAAUUUCGGGUAUCCAUACCCAUUGACAUCCCUAGGUGAGAGAGAGAGAGAGAGAGAGAAAGAAAGAGAAAUUUUUGGAACAUACUUUCCAAACAAUCUUAUUUGUAAAUUGUCCGGAUGGAUGCCACAUAGUUGUUGGAUUUUACCCAAUAAUAAAUUUUGAUGAUAACAAACAAAUUUUGGAUUUAAUUUGUUAUUUAGCAAUUUCAGAUUUUGGAUUUAAUUUGUUAUUUAGCAAUUUCAAAUUGUAAUUGAAUUUAAAGUUGCUCAAGCUGAACCGGAUUUGAUCAAAGGUAACCAUUUAAUUAAUUUGUUCAAAUUGGCCCAAACAAGAUCAAAUUGUACCAAAUUGGAUGCAAGUACCACAACAAUAAUUUGGAGGACUUCUUUACAAUUUAUUGGAUUUGAGCAGUCAACCUAAUCACGUUGACCAAUUCACCUUUUAGGUUUGAUUUGAGUUUAAUGUUAAAUUAGCUAUUAUUUUAAUAUGGUAUGAAAGUGAUUUUAUGUAUGGUAUAAAUUAGAAAAUGAUUUUAUUAUGACAUGAAUUUAAAAAAAUGAAAUAUGAUAUAAAUGAGUUUUAUAAGUAUGGUAUUAUUUCAAAAGUUUUCACAAAAGUGGAAUGAAUUCAAAAGUUUUACAUUUUAGUAUUAAUUUAAAAGGAUAUUACGAAUUUGGUAUAAUAUCAAAUGAACUUUUUAAUAUAGCAAUAUUUCAAAUGAGUUUUGCAAAUGUGGUAUGAAUUUGAAUUUAUUUUGGAAUUAAUUCAAAUGCAUUUGUAAAUUGGUUAAAAUUCAAAUUAAAAUCAAUUAUGAUUUAAUCAUAUUUUUGAUCCAUUUUUGAAAUGAUGGCUAGUGUAUUUAAAGGGGAGUUUGGAUGUUGUUUGGGAUACAACUUCAAAAAAAUUCUCUAAAUCCUAAUUAUUUAUUGAUUUGUAAUUGUGAGCUUCUUGAGAGGUUGUAAAAGAAGUAUUGUGUGAUUGUAAGCGACUUUGGUCUUGCCCUGUUCAAACGGCCACGUGAUAAUGAAAUCGGUACUUCGAGGAGAAGAAGGGCAGGACUAGAAUAGGCAGAAAGGCCGAAUCAGGAUAAAUCAUCUGUGUAAUCUAAGGUUGAUUUCUUCUUUUAUUUGAUUGUGCAAUUUUUAUCUUGAUUUAAUUUUACUUAGUUUUUAGUUGUUAACUAAUUCACCCUCCUCUUAGUUGCCAUUUGAUCCUUCAUUAGUGAGCAACGUCCAUUCCAACUGCGUAGCAAAAAAACAUGACGGGUGGUAUCCAUCCAAACCCUAAGCAUUUUAUUAUAUUAUAGUUAACUUCACAAUAUUGUUUAUGCAUUAUUUUAUAUAUGUCAAUAUGAAAACCCAAAUCCCAUCCAUUACUAGUUUUUAUAGUUCUUAUCCUAUUUUUCUUAUUUAUAUGUGUUUCUUAUCCUAUUUUUCUUAUUUAUAUGUAUAUCUUAUUAAUGUGUACAACGUAAAUCAAAUAUAAGAAGUAGAAGGUAACCACUACUUUACUUUUGUGACAUUCCUAAGAUUUAGAAUAUUAAUAUAUAUAUAGGAUAUAAUAAGGCUAAAUCUUUUAAUCUAAUUAUAAUAUUUUGGACAGUGAUUAGUUCCAAAGAGUUAAAAGUGUUAAACCUACUAGAAUUAGAAUAGUUCUAAAAUGAAUGAUCUCCUAUUAGUUCCUUUUUUUUGUCCACAUUUUUUAUUUUUUUUAAUUAUCUAUCCAUCACAUCGCACAGGUUAAUUACUACGCUAAUAAUUAAAUUAUAGUAGUUCUUUAUUCGAAAAAAGGUUUAAUUUUUUUUUUAAUAAUUUGGGCAUUGUUAUAGGGGUAUUGAAAUGGAUAUUAGUUGGAUAUAUAUCAAUUAACGCAUAGAUUUUCAGAGCAACAUAUCCAUGGAAUUGAUGCUUUUAUAAAGUUUGCUCGUGAUCAUAGUGUGGUUAAUAAUAAAGUGUAAACUUCAAAUACCACUUCUGUGGUUUCACACUUUUUCACUUUACUACUCCGUGAUUUAAAGUAUAUCAAGUUAAUAUCCUGUAGUUUCAUUUUUAUGUUUUCAUCAGUUUUUUCGUUAAUAUUUCAUUAAAUUAUAUACAAAAAACUUCAAAUACCCUAUCUAGGUUUAUCGAAUAUUCACUUAAAUACCUUUAGUUUUAACAUUAUCACUGAUUUAACGAAAAAAAUUAGUGAAAUCGAUAAUAAAAAGAUAAAAAUAAAAUCACUGGACACUAAAUUGAUACACUUUAAAUCACAGAAUAUUAAAGUGAGAAAAUGUGAAAUUACAAGGAUGGUAUUUGAAGCUUUUUUAAUAAUAAAAUUUGUUGU
rnacentral:lncRNA from 1 species